ACAACCACUCUUCACUUCACCAUCAUCAUCACUAAACUCGAACCCUAAAGAAAAAAUGGCUGCCAUAGCUUCUACGCUCUCUCUUUCUUCAACCAAACCUCAAAGACUUUUCGAUUCUUCCUUCCAUGGCUCAUCCAUCUCCGCAGCUCCUAUCUCUAUCGGUCUCAAACCACGAUCUGGAAGCGUAGUCUCCGUUCGCGCCACAACCGCUGGUUACGAUUUGAACGCUUUCACGUUCGACCCGAUCAAGGAAUCGAUCGUGUCUCGUGAGAUGACUAGAAGGUACAUGACUGAUAUGAUCACUUACGCUGAGACUGAUGUCGUCGUCGUUGGUGCUGGAUCUGCUGGUUUGUCUUGUGCUUAUGAGAUUAGUAAGAACCCUAAUGUUCAAGUUGCGAUUAUUGAGCAAUCUGUUAGUCCUGGUGGUGGCGCUUGGCUCGGUGGUCAGCUUUUCUCCGCCAUGGUAAGAUUUAGAUUGUUUUUUUGCAUGUGCGAUUGGUUCUGUUUUAAUGGAGGAUUUAGGUCUAGACUUAAUCACUGUGACUAUCAAUCUCAAUUUUGGGUUUGAUUGUUGUGUUUAUGGCAGAUUGUUCGCAAACCAGCUCACUUGUUCCUUGAUGAGAUUGGUGUGGCUUACGAUGAGCAAGACAACUACGUUGUGGUUAAACACGCGGCUCUGUUCACGUCUACCAUCAUGAGCAAGCUUUUGGCUCGUCCUAAUGUGAAGCUCUUCAACGCUGUGGCGGCUGAGGAUUUGAUUGUGAAAGGAAACAGAGUUGGUGGUGUGGUGACUAACUGGGCUCUUGUGGCUCAGAACCAUGACACACAGUCUUGCAUGGACCCCAAUGUUAUGGAGGCGAAGAUUGUGGUUAGCUCGUGUGGUCAUGAUGGUCCUUUUGGAGCUACUGGUGUUAAGAGGUUGAAGAGUAUUGGGAUGAUUGAUCAUGUUCCUGGGAUGAAGGCUUUGGACAUGAACACUGCUGAAGACGCUAUAGUGAGGUUGACCAGAGAGGUUGUUCCUGGUAUGAUUGUUACCGGUAUGGAAGUUGCUGAGAUCGAUGGUGCACCGAGAAUGGUGAGUCUUUUUCUAUUUUCUUGACGGAUUUUUGAGUUGAUAUCAAUAGUUCUUGAAGAUCAUGUCCUGAGUGAGUUUGUUGUGGUGUAGGGACCGACAUUUGGUGCUAUGAUGAUAUCGGGACAGAAGGCCGGACAACUUGCUCUUAAGGCUUUGGGGCUGCCAAAUGCUAUUGAUGGAACUAACGUUGGAAACCUAAGCCCGGAGCUGGUCUUAGCCGCUGCUGAUUCAGCUGAAACCGUAGAUGCUUAAAAUCAAAAGGUUUUAACUUAAGAAAAAUUUCCCUUGAUCCUUCGGAUGUUGAAGGAGUGCAAUAAAGGAGUUUAGGUGUUUAAGUCUUGAACUUUUUCUGGUGUCUUUGUUUCUUUGUUUCCUCUUGUCAAUGAAAAUGUGUUUCUUCUGUGUAAAAUAUCUUAUCCGUUCAUUCGUAAUGCGUAUGUUCUCGUUCUUCUCCUUCUUUGUGGCUGUAGUACAAGCAGCUUUCUAGUUGUCCUUGGCAUGUUCAGUUUUGUAGCAAGUCAAAAUAUGUCUGAAUGUUAGGUUUCGAAUCUUUAGAUUAUAAUAGCUUCUCUUAUUGCAGGACAUAAGCUUCAUGUUCUGAGGACUAAAUUUAGAAUUAUGAGUUAUUUUCUUUUCUCUUCCUUUCUCUUGCAUCCUAAGUAAACCUGAGGAACAAUGAAGAUACAAAACAUUAUUCUGUUCCUAACGGACUGUUGUUGUUCCUUUUACUACCAACUAUCAUAAACUUGGUUUUGAUAUGAGAUGGAUUCCGGGAGGAGAUGGAUUCUAUAAGAGGUUUUUCUUCAAUGGUGAAUAAUGUGAGCUUCAUAAGAAGAUUAGUAUUGAAUGUCGGAUUCUUGUCCUCGAUUCUGAUUCUUAUUGUAACAUUUCUUUUGAUCAUCAGAUAGAUUUAGCAGUCUAGAAUCUGUAACAAAAAAAAGUCUAUAGUUUCUCUGCUUAUGAAUGAACAAAGAGUUUUAUGAUUUUAGAUUCAGAGAACAGAGGAAAACUGUAAAAUAGAAAGAAAACAAAUGUUUACAUUUCUUUUAUGAACUGUAAAAUAUAUACUGAUGUCUGACCUGGAAUUCAAAUACUCCAUCCUUAUUUACAUAUAUAAUCCGGCUUAGAAGUGCAACAAUGAGUUUAGAAAUGACAUCGGUGAUAAUCCUUUUUUGUGAACAUGGUUUUGUGAAACAAAGAUUACAAACAUGAAUUUGUUGUAUGAACAGUUUACAACGAGAAGUUGUUGUGUAAGUUGGGCUGCAUGGUUUCUUUUCUUCAUUACCACCACCCAAGGAAUCGUUAAAUCUCUGACCAUUCACUUUUUGUCGCCGGAUGUUGUGAGUUAUCAAAUAUGUAUAAUAACAUACAAAAACGCUGCUACUCAUGAAUCUUCUCCAAUGCUAUUUCUUGGCCUGAAAUACCAAAAAACAGAACAAUCAGAGACAAGAAGGAUCAUACAUAAACCCAUAAGAGUAUAAACUUGUGACAGAAUUUAAGAGAAAGGGUAAUUAAAAAACCAAACCUUUUUUAGAUACUUCUUGUGCAGUUUCAUUGCACCAGUACAGGCUUUCUUAGCAUCCAAGUUUCCGGUUAUGUCGUUUAAGAUCUGGGCAAAAUACACAGAUUAAAGAGGACUUCACUGGAUAUGGAAGGGCUUAAAGAAAAAUGAUCUCUCUGCAUUACCUUUACAACGUCAUCAAGUCCUCGAGCUUCGGUCAUUAACUUAGAACUCUUGUCUUUCAAAACACUAGCCACUAAGAAAACAGAAAUAGGCAAAGGACCUUCUGCACUUUUCCCUCCAUUCUUCAUGUUCUCUCUCUCGUACUUCCCACAUUGGUUUAUCGACUUCGGUUUACCUUUGGAAGAACCUUCGGUUCUCUCUCCCUCGAAUUGAGGCUCCUCAUAUAGAGAAUACAUUUCUGGGUCAUACUCUAAUGCCCACAUCAUCUGCUCAAUGCAAAAGAUCCCCGUAAUGGAUGUAUCACACUUUAUUAGUGUGCGGUUAAAGAACAAUGUUUCUGAGUUUAUGAGUUUAUAAAGAGACGAAGAAAAAGGUUACCUCCCAAAGGUACAAGGAGUCACAAAAAGAGAAUUCUCUUCGGAACUGAACCAUUAUCAUUCGAAUCGCAAAGAGAUAGUCACCUCCACCCAAGUUCUCUGCAUUUCAAGAUCCACAGUGGCUUUAAAGAUCUCUCUUGCUCAACCUGUAACGAUUAAUUAUACACUAAAAGUGAGAUGAGAAAGCUUUAGUAGAUACCUAAGUGAUGGUGAAGUUUGGGGUCAAUAAUCUGAGUGAUUGAAGCCAAAUGAGUAAGCUGUGCUUCGACUCCAACUGAUCUCCCCGUGUCCCGAAAAUUCCCUCGCUUUCAAUUUGAAAAAAAGAAGAAAUAGUUAAAUAUUAUCUGACUACAGAGAGAGUCAAGAAAAACUUAUAUGAACACAAAACAUAGAGGUAAGUCCGUAAGUACCAAUCGGCGCAUCAACCGUUCGAAACACCAAAAAGCAUCAGCUUCGUCUUCAAGAAGCAUAAUCAUAGGGGAACAAAGAUCACUCAUUCCUAGUCAGAAGAAACAGUAGAUAGAUCAAAACUUAAGAAUCAAUCAACUUUUCAGGGCUUGAACAAAGGAUAACCGUGUUCUUUCUUUAAAUUUCACUGCUUACCUUGGCAAUAACCAACGUCAUUGUCUAUCCACGCGUAAAGAGCUAGAAUAUCCCAGAGCUUAGACAAAUUCUCCUUUUUCUCAUAGAAUACCAAAGUCCUAUCUGUACGGUUUACAUCAAGACCUGAAAACAAGAGUUGACGCAAAUGAAUUGAAUGAUAUAUUGAAUUAUCUCUCUCAUAACUACUCUCUGUUGUGACCAAGUCCGCGCGAUCACUGACCUAUCUGAUGAAGUGUUAACAGCCAUUGAAUAACUUUCUUGUCCAAAGGUCCGCGGCUUGCAAGAUCUUUGAAGAAAUCCGAACCAUUUGCACCUGAGAUAAUAUUACAAUGCGUAAUUUACCAAGUUCUAGUGAAAGGUGAUUGUUCUACUGUUUUCUUGAGCAAAAGAUACAAAUUUUUACCUAAAUUUGUUUCUUGUAGUACAAUAGGAUCGUAAAUGGGUUCACCCUUGUUGGUAAUUACAGGUGCGGUAAUGAAUCCACCACUUCCGAUAACUGGAAACAUUUGUUUACAUUCCUCCUUCCAAGAAGCAUACUGCAAUCUGAAAGAAAAUAUCCAUACUUCAAAAAAAAAAAAAAAGAUAUAGUGCAAAGCGAAUGCAAGAUGAAUAAGAUCUUUCAUAAACUUAUAUAUGGGUGAAAAAGAACACCUUCUACGUUGUCGGAUUUGCUCUCUUUCUUCAAAUGUGCUCUUUGGAUCAUAACAACCAAGUAAGAAUUCCCAGACUUCUCCUCUAAUUGAUGGAUGGAUUCCCUAGACCAGUCAAGAAAGCAAACAACAGAACUGGAAUGAUAAGAAAACACAACUGAUACCGUGUACUCUUGAUUUCUUGAUUGAAAUGACAAAAAGGCAAGCAAGAGGAUUAAAAUGUAAGUGAUUUUUUUUGCAUGGCCAAAUUUAGUUAAUUUUGCAGUCUUUGGAAACAAUGUUUUUGAGACUUACCCCUCGUUGGAUUCGACUUAGAGUCUUGCCAAUAUCGAGGAACCCUUCUGUUGUAAAUGCAGCCUGCCAUUUUCUUACACUUAGAGUUUUACCAGGCUGCACAAACAAAAUUAAGCAAAACGGACAGGUAGUGUCAGCAAAUUGAGACUCUGUCGUUCUCUAAAACAUAAUCAUGUGAUGCUACUGAGCAUGAUCAGUGCUAGAAAGGUGAACCUAAACAAUCAGCAUCAGAAAAACAUUAACUCUAAGCAAGUCAUAGCACUAUUGAUGUAUCUGCAAUUCUCUAAACACAAUCAUGAGAAUAAUAAACCUAAAAGAGCACUAAAAUCAAUAAUCCCCAUUAUAUAUAAAUCAGCAUCAUAAGACAUAAACAUGUCAUAGCCUAAAUCAUAACUAGUAAAUGCUCUCAUCGGUAAAAGUUCCAAAUCGAAGAAGAAAAAAUCAGGCCAACAAUAAUAAAGCAAUGCUAAUAUUUUAGCUGAAAAAUUCAUUGCAAGGGAGAAAGAAGAAUCUAAGCAACAAGACAAAAGAAUCUGAAAGCUCCCAGGGAAUCGCAAACGCCAAUCUCAUUCAUUAAUAACGAAUCCAAUGGUGAACCAAAAUCCAAGAAAAAAAGAAGAAAUUAUUAGGGAAAGGGACAAACUUUGAUCUUGAAUUUGGUAUUGGGGACAUCAUUGCACUCAGGACGAAUCUGGUAAUAAGAAUCUGCUGGUUCUGCGAACGCUCCCCACAUUUUUUAGCUAAUUUUUUCAAUCCCCUCCCCAAAAACAAAUAAAAAUGAAAACUUUCCCGGGAAAAUCAAAUGAAAAAUCCAAACAAAAAAUGGGUUUUUUUUUUUCUACAAACAAGAUUGGAGAAGAAAGAAAGAAAAAAAACUGGAACCCUCUCAAAAGAUCAAUUCUUUCUUUGUCGAAUUUUUGGAGAAGAAAGAAAAGAAAAACAAAAAGAGAUCUUUAAGAGGGGUCCAGUUUUUGAGAUUAAAGAAAAGAUCAAAGACAGAACUUUUCUUUUUGGUUUGCAAUUAUUUUACUAAUCUAAUCUAAUUAAUCAUCAACCAUGUUUCGUUUUACAUUUUUUUAAAAUAAUUGAGUGGUCUCUGGAGAAGCAAUCAUUUUUGAUGGUGAUUAAGAGGUGUUGAUCGUUUGGUCAAGCUCAUCGAUCUUUCUUUAUUUAUCUUUCUCUCCUCCGUUUUUAGUAAACGAGACAAGGUUGCGUUUGUUGACAUAGUUUUUAGUUUAGUCAAUCGGUUUAUGAUUUGAUUUUGGUUUGAAGUUUUGGGUUUAGGGCAAACCGGGGUCAAGUUUAGGGCAAACCGGGGUCAAACCCUCUAUAUAAGAAAGAGUCUUAUGUAGAGGGUUUGAACCCCCGGUUUACUAGCUAAACCCUAAUUACUAGUUAACAUAACCGGAAUUCUAUACUUCAAUAGUUUGGUUUCCAUCCGAUUUGAAGCAAUUGUGUUGGAUGAUUUAGUUUUUGUUAGAACUAAAACCGGUGACAAAAUUAGCUUCUGUUUAAGUAUUUUUGAUUUGGUUCGGUCUUUAUUUGUUUUUUAUUCUCCAAAACCCUAGAAAACUAGGUUUGAUAAACAUUGGAAGAAACUAAUUAGGUCACAUAAACCACAUAGUAGAUUUUUCGCCGAGUGAAGUUGUGUCUUGUUUUGACGUAUUCAACAACUCCGACAUUAGUCGUUAGAGAGGUUUAAGUCACUCAUCGUUUCAGCCAAACGACAAAAGUAGACUAAGCCACCACAAGACUUAAAAAAACAACUAAUUUUAUUUAGGAACAAAAUAAUGUAAUUGUAUGCAAGCGAUGUCGUUGAUAAAGAAAAAAAAAGUAUGUAAGCGAUGUAAACUAUAUUAUGAAAAAAAUAACAGAAAAAAAAAUAAAAGAAAACUAAACAAUGAAACAACUAGAUAGGCAUUGUCGAAUCGUCCUAUACAAUCACCAAUUACGCCUGAUCCUCUCUUGUUGCCCAAUAUGCGUAAAAUACAUAGAUGGCGAAACAUAUAAAGCCACCAAAAACGCCAAAAAAACCUAUAAACGCCAUUAGUCCCAAGCCUUCCAUUCUCCCUUCUCCUUUUUGUGUGUAUACUGUAUUGAAAGCCGAAAGAAAAAUAUAAUCAAUCAAAAAGAAGAGGUUUUAUAUUAAUAAUUAGCUUCGAACUAUAAGGAAAAGUUCGAUACUAGUGCUGACCAAAAAAAUGGAAACUUAGAUACGACUAGUGAAUAAUAUAUCUUACUAUUACCUCUUGUAUCUAAAGAAAUGGCAAAUUAUAUAGCGAGUAAGAAGAUUGACCUUUUAGGGAAAAAAAAAGAGAUUUACCUUUAUAAAUAAAUGGAAACUAUAUAAAAGUUCUUAAACACGCACGUACAUUCAAUAUAUAUGCAUAUCUUAAACAUGACAUGUUAGGGUUAAAUGUUUCCAAUUGGGAAUCUUGUAUUAAAUAUACAAAAUUCGGAAAAGUUUAUAGUAGAAAGGCAUGUCAUAUACCCAAAGAUUUAGUGAGUCAUAAUUCCAAAGGUUAUUUAUGUGUCGCAGGCUAAGAAAAUAGAAAGCCGGUAAUAGUUAGCAAUCCAAAGAUGAAAGAUACAUGAAACAUAAGGAAAACUUUUGAAUUGGAAUAUCAUAACUAAUGAUUUUGAGUCUAACAAAUGUUAACGUUACAUACACAAGAAUUUAAUAUCAUAAGAGAAAAAAAAAAAAAUUGUCACUAACAAUUCUCUUUAGAAAAUAUUCUGACCUAUGUAGAGUCUAAAUAGUAAUCGGAAAAUCUGACUGAAUCUCUCUGAAUUGUUAAAUCGAGUUAAAAUUUUUAGUGAUUUUAAGCUGAAUUUAGUUGAAUUUAUACAUUUGUAAAUGGUGACGGUUGAAUCUAGCUAGCUCAUUUUUUUUUGUGAUUUUUGACAAAAUUUUAAAAAAUAAUGAAAACUUUAACUAAAAAAAUAUCAUUCAAUAAUUAUGAAUAUUAAUAGAAUAACUAAAAAUUAUGUACACAAAAUAGAUAAAAUUAUAUAAUGGUCUAGUUAACUUUUAUAUCAAUAAAUAAAUACUAAAAUUAAUACUAUAUAUAAAUAAGAUAUUGGUUAGCAAAAUUGAGUUAGUCUUCCAUAUUAAAAAUUUGAGCUAUUAAAAUUAUGUAAAUAAUUAAUAAAAACCUUUGUCAAAGCAUUAUUGAAAAAUUAAUUUCAAAAAUUAACAUGAUAAUAAAAUAUAGAUUAUCUAAUUGAUUUUUUUUUUCUAUUGUUCUCUAGUUGUUUUAAUCAAUACUAUGAUGAGGAUGAGUGUUUGAGUAAGAAAAUUAAGAAAAUUUUGAUAUUUUAAAUAAUAGUUUUAGCAUAGUUAUGAGUUGUUUUGCAAAAUUUUAAAAAUUCAUUUUAAAUUAUCUAAAAGUUAUUAAUAUUAUCCAAAAUUAUUUAUAAUUAUCCAAAAAUGAAUUCGAAUCUUGUUUAUUUUGGUAGUGAUUUUAUGUAUCUGAAUUAUUCAUAUAUUGUAUCCAUAAAUCUGACUCAUUUUAAAAUUAAAAUUUGAUUUGUAAUUUCAAAAAGAUUUUAUUUUAAGUUGUGUACUCGUUAUUAUCCGAAUUUUUAUCAAAAAUGAACAUAUCUACGUAUUAUUAGUUAGUGUUGAAAAAAUCUUUUAAAUCUGACUGAAUUUAGUUUUAUGCAAAUAGUAACUGUAAAAUUGUUGAAUUUAGUUGAAUAUGACUGAAUGUUUUUUGUUUUUUAUGUGUUACUAUUUAAACCCGUAGUUUAUUUGUACCUCUUACCUAGCUAGCUUUCUCACGUUGUGGCUUUUAAUCUGGUCUGGAGAAAAAAAAAUAUAACUAUGCACGGUCACCUUGUGACCUACGGCGGUUAGGUGAGUACCACAUUUGUCAACAAUGUGGUAAACAGAAAACUGAUCUAUGGUGCAUAGCCAGCGAAACAAAAUCAUAAAAACAUUUUUGAGACUUUUCUAAAUGAUUGUGUGAAGGAUUAUAUGACUCAUUUUCGAAAAUAUAUAUAUACAUAUAUUCCAAUAAAAAUAUGAAUGUCCAUAAAACUCACAUGCCAUAUGUAAUUUGUUACAUAAGCAUAUCUCAACAAUUAAGUGAAUAACAUAUAUUACAUAUGACUGAAAAAAAUCUACCAAAUAUUAAUAUUCUAGAAGGAAAAAAAUUAUUGGAAACCAAAAGAAUGAAUAAGGAUUGUUAUUUAUAAUCAACCAAGAAAAUUGGUGACCAUAGACAAAGGAACUAAACAAAGCCCCUUUUUCUUCAAGUCUAUUGAUAAUCCACCUUGGUUUUGCACUGCACUCUCUCUUUUCUCCUAUGCAAAACAUUAUCGUAGGGUAAAUUUUUGUUAGAAAUAUCAUAUCGAUCGCAUAUAUUUCGUAUAACAUAUGAUUGAUCAAUUCUAACGUUAACUAUACAAAGUUAAAUAUUAUAGCUAGUUAAUGUGUUUCUUACAUUAUUUGUGUCAUCAGCCACAAUACCACCCCCGUGUCUAGUGUUGUUGUCCUGUAGGUUCAUCAUGCUAUAGACCUAUAAAACGAAAAAAAAAUCCCAAAUUGUUAAUUAGAUAAUAACUGUUUAAAUAUUUAUGGACUAAAUUAAUAUAAUGUACAAUUGACUUGUUAAAGCUGAUUAUUAUAUACAUUGAUGUCAAAUAGUAGGAACUUAAGACAUGGCACAGAUUGGUGCAUAAGUUUUUGGAUUAAUUUUUAUAAGUAUAUUUCAAUUAUGAGUCAAAACCCAAAAUUUUAAUGAUUGCUUGCCUCUCUUGGCAAAAAGAAAAAUAAAUUAUUCCCUAUCAUUGACGUCUAACCUUAUCAUCAAUCCAAUAUUGUCCUAAAAAAUAUAAUCAGCAUAGGACUAAUAUAGAUAUCCCAUUUAUAUAUUUGUAUCAUGGCAUAUUUACUCAUAUACAAUAUAUAUAGUUGGUCGUCGACUGUUUGUGCAAAACGAAAAAAAAGAAGUAAUUAAUCACGUUCUUAGAAAAAUAUAGAAGGAACCUAAAAUGGAUAAUGCCUGAAAAAAUCAUAUUCACCGCAUAUGACAUACCUAUAGUCUACUUAAAAUUUUCAUGAAGUAGUCUUAUAGUGUUUUCAUGAUUUGUAUAGUAAAAAAUCGAUCUUUUGUGUUUAUCACUUCGGCGAUAACCACUAAACCAACAUCAUUUGGUAAUUAAAAUCAUUAUAACAAUACAUACAACAAUAUAUAUUCAUUUAGAGAGAGAGAGAGAGAGACUGACGUUAGGGCUAUGAGAAGGAGAAGAGGCAGUGUCUUCAAGAUCAUGACGACGACCAAAAGGAAUCUCUCUAUUUCUCGUCCUCUUGAUGUCCAAAUUAGAUCCUUCUUGCUUCGACACGUGGAGGGUCUUCUUAGUGGCCACGAACGACGCUGCAUCGGAGACGGAGGAAGAGCUGCAAUCUCCGACGUCAACUAUGCUUGAAGAAGCCUCGAAGAAAUCCUCAAAGUACAUCGUCCAGCUACUUUCUUCUGGAUUUUGGUCGCCUGUAAACGUCGCCGUUUCAUGUUUUCCCAUAAUGAAGGCAUUGUUCAUUGAACUCUCCAUGAAAAAUUUGGAAGAGAAAAAGAAAAAUGGUUGGUUUGUAAUUUGGUAGCAACAGAUGAAAGGAAACAUGCGUGAGGGAUUAUUAUAUACAUAGUGAAGUAAAUAGUGAAUUAAUCAAAUUAGUAUUUAAAAUUGUUUUUUAACGAAUUAAUAUUAUUUUGCUGUCAAUGAUGGGGAAUGUAAUGUUGGUUUGGAAUCUUGGUUUGUGGGGUCGCUCUAUCUGUUGUUUCUCUAUUUGGUUGGAAUAAAAGUUGGUUUGAAAUGUUCAAACCAGUUUAAUACUGUUAUCCUGCAAAUUAAAACAUAAAUGAAUUUUUAUAUUAAAAAAAAAAAAUCGAGCUUGAUUUAUGAAAGUUUUAUGAAUAGUAUAAAUUGUCAUUGUUGAAUUAUCUAAAAUGUUAACAUCAAUAAACUAUAAUAUUUUUUAGUGAACGUUCUUAAAUAUAUUUUCAACAUAUUAAGAUAUAAAAAAAUGAUAUGUAGAAUUAUAUGACUGAAUCAUUGUACAGUAUUGUUGGGGUCGGAUUCCAUCCUUUAGCGCCAAGCCAGACUUAGAAUACUUCGGGAGUCUUUCGGCGAUCGCCUCGGGGUAUCGCAUCAUUCACCUCGGGAUAUCCCGAACAAGACAUCGAAAGCACCCGAGCCCAAUUGCCUCGGGGGUACCCGAGCCCAUCGCCUCGGGAGUUUCUGAGCCCAUCGCCUCGGGGACACCCGAAGAAGCCAUCCUAGAGUGCCCGAGCCGUUUCUUCCUGUGUACCCGAGCCAGUUGCACAAGUUCCCCGAGGCGAAGUCUUCAUCGUCGCCCGAAGCAAAGUCUUAGUAAAUAUUCUUCUUUAAAGGUAUCAUUUCCAAGCAUAUUAUCAUUUCCGAAAAAGAAGGAUCAUUUCCGAUAAACUCGGAAAUGAUAAGGAAGAAUCUCGAAGGAUCAACUCAAAUCAGGAAAUCUUCCAAAAGACUCCGAAGAAUAAGGAAACUAUCCUAAUCCGCGAUAUUCUAAGCCGACUUCAAGAUAAAUGGAAAUCUUCCGAGAAUAUCGCUGGAGAGGCGGUUCAUCACCCCUAUAUAAAGAGACUCAAGGCUCUCGCAGAAGGCAAGCAAUAUCGCUCUAGAAAGUACACUACGCAAAGCUCUCACAGCACGAACACUUUUUCUUUUACGAUCAAACUCUUGUACGAUCAAAAUCAUCUUUUCAUUAAUAAUAUCAAGAACACCAUCUUUGGUAUCAAUCGUUUCUGUUGUUCUUUGAGAAUUCACGAUUAUCGUAUCCCUAAAAUAAAACCCUAGACAAAUCUUGAUUGUGUUAGUUUCGACCUCCACAGUUUGGCGCCGUCUGUGGGGAUACUUUAGAAUUCUCUUACCCUAAGACGCAGAACUCGAUUACUGAAAAGCACGAUGACCGAAGACGGUCGUCAGACACCACCAGCUGGAGGAGGAAUCCCGAACCCUCCGAACCCUGAGAACCCUCAACCCGCCGAUCCGACGAUCCUAGCGACUCUAGCCGAACUGAAAGAUCUGAUGGUUAAAUUCCAGAAGAAAACUGACGACCAAGAGAAAGCCAACCAAACCUUGGCGCAGCGAGUCGACGAAAUCGCAACACGCGGGCAACAAAAAACCACACGUUUCCAAACUCGGCCACCACGAGCUCGGAGGGACUUGCCUGGCAUCAACCCAACGAGACUCACGUUCGCGACACCAACCGGCAACACCAGAGUCGCAACCCGAGCCGACCAUGUCAGGCGCGAGGACCAGGAUGAUCCCACCGAGCCGGACGCAGUGGACUUGACAGACGAGCCAGAUCUUCAGGAUGAGCGUACCCGAGCCGGAGCUAAUUCCGCCGAGCGAACAGACCUUACUGAUGACGAAGAAACUGAAGAAAACAUAAGGUGGGCCGAAGAAUCCGAAAGAGAAGACGAGCUAAGCAAGAUCCGAGCCUCCCUAGCCAAGGCGGAAGCUGAUAUGAAGCUCGUCAAAACCCAGAUACAUAGCGUCUCAUCCUCCGCGCCGAACAUCGACCGAAUUUUGGAAGAAUCUCGGAAUACGCCUUUCACCAAAAGAAUUUCUGAGACGACGAUGUCCAACCUGGGAAAGUUCAGAAUCGACUCCUACAACGGAUCAACCGACCCGAAGUGCCACAUUAAAUCGUUCGUGAUAUCUGUGGCCCGAGCCAGGUUCAAGCCCGGAGAAAAGGAUGCGGGUCUGUGCUUACUGUUCGUGGAACACCUAAAAGGACCCGCAUUAGAGUGGUUUUCAAGAUUGGAACGAAACUCGAUUGAUAGUUUCGACGAGCUGUCGACAUUGUUCCUCAAACAAUACUCCGUGCUCAUCGACCCCGGAACUUCCGACGCGGAUCUAUGGUCCUUAUCUCAACAGCCCACCGAGCCAUUAAGGGAUUUCCUCAAGACCUUCAAAUCGACGCUAGCCAAGGUCGAAGGAAUUACAGAUGUAGCAGCUCUCUCGGCUUUGAAGAAAGCUCUCUGGUACAAGUCAGAAUUCAGGAAAGAGUUGAACCUGUCUAAACCAACAACAAUUCGUGACGCGCUGCAUCGAGCCUCGGAUUUCGUCGCCCACGAAGAAGAAAUGGCGCUACUAGCAAAGAGGCACGAGCCGACGAAACAGGCGUCCCGAGCCGAGAAAACCGAGAAAACUGAGAAAGCCCAAGCGGCACCUCCAAUCCAGAAGAAGACGCGUGAGAGCAGUACAUAUACGCAUCACGAAGGGCGCAAUUUCUCAGGAUACCAUAGCUACCAAAUCGACACACCCCGAGGCCGUGGCCGCGGCAGAGGCCGAGGCCGUGGGCGGGGAAGAGAGUCCUUCACCUGGACAAGGGAUCAGCCACCGAGCAAUGAUCAAGAAUAUUGCGAACACCACAAAAUUUUCGGCCAUCAUACCUCGAGAUGCCGAAGCCUCGGAGCCAAGUUAGCAACCAAAUUCCUAGCUGGAGAGCUCGGGACAAACGUUACUCUUAAGGAUCUCGAGCCAGAACCGGAGCCCGAGCAGACCAACCCAGGAAGAGACCCCGAACCAAGGAACCAGGAGUCUCAGAAAAGAACCCGGGGAUCGGAAGACGAAGACCGAGAUGGUACGCGGCAGAAGGUUUUUACUAUAAUGGGUGGAUCGCCAUACUGUCCUGACACUGUAGCGGCAAUCAAAGCUUAUCAACGCCGAGCCGAGACACCUAGCAACUGGACAAGACCCUUCGAUCGACCUAACGACGUGAUCACAUUCGAAGAGAGCGAGACAAACGGGCUCGACAUGCCUCAUAACGAUCCAAUCGUCGUCACAUUAGCGAUAGGAGACCACGAUAUUUACCGAGUGUUAAUUGACACCGGCAGCACCAUUGACGUGAUCUUUCGCGAAACGCUCCAACGAAUGAACAUCGACAUGUCACAGGUGAUUCCGACCCCGAGGCCUAUCCUCGGAUUUUCAGGGGAAACUUUGAUGACGCUUGGGACCAUCCAACUACCAGUCCGAGCCGGCGGGGUGACAAAGAUAGUCAACUUCUCAGUCACCGAUCGACCUACCAUCUACAACGUCAUAAUGGGAACCCCGUGGUUAAAUCUAAUGCGAGCUGUCGCAUCAACAUAUCAUCUGUGUGUCAAGUUCCCGACCCCUAAUGGCGUGAAAACAAUUUGGGGCAGUCAGAAAAAUUCUCGGAUGUGUUUCAUGGCAGCACACAAACUCCGAAACCCUGUCACUGAAGUAAAAGCUGAAACGGAUCACAAGAAAUCGAAACUUGGCCGGAGUGAAGAGAAGGCUAUAUCUAAACAGUUAUAGCAAUUACAGAUCGAGGAGGCGCGCGAGGAGAAGAAGCCUACCUCGGAUCCUGUAAUCUCCAUUAGCCUCGACGACGAACGGCCCGAACGAUGUGUGGAAUUUGGCAGCGACUUAACCGAGGAGCUCAAGACCGAGCUCAUCUCAUUCCUCAAGGAGAACAUCGACACCUUCGCCUGGUCGGCUGAAGAUCUACCUGGGGUAAGCAUCGACGUAAUCUGCCACGAGCUGAAUGUUGACCCAUCUUUCAAGCCCAUCAAGCAGAAGCGAAGAAAAUUGGGUCGGGAUCGCGCAGAUGCAGUGAACGCCGAAGUUGAAAAACUCCUGAAGAUCGGCUCGAUCUCUGAAGCAAGGUAUCCGGACUGGUUAGCAAAUCCUGUCGUGGUUAAAAAGAAGAACGGCAAGUGGAGAGUUUGCGUCGAUUUCACCGAUCUGAACAAAGCUUGCCCUAAAGACAGUUUUCCGCUCCCACAUAUCGAUCGUUUAGUGGAAGCAACCGUGGGAAAUAAGUUGCUAUCAUUCAUGGACGCUUUCGCAGGAUACAAUCAAAUUCUCAUGCACCCCGACGAUCGCGAGAAGACAGCAUUCAUCACAGACCGAGGUAUCUACUGUUACAAAGUCAUGCCCUUCGGACUCAAGAACGCCGGCGCGACGUAUCAGCGACUCGUCAACAGAAUGUUCUCCGAACAGCUCGGGAAGACGAUGGAAGUUUAUAUCGACGACAUGUUAGUCAAAUCUCUUGAAGAAAGCGACCACAUAGCCCAUCUAUGCGACUGUUUCCGUCAGCUCAACAAGCACAACAUGAAGCUUAACCCGGCAAAAUGUCGUUUCGCGGUAAAGUCUGGAGAAUUCUUGGGAUAUCUCGUAACACACCGAGGCAUCGAGGCGAACCCGAAACAGAUCGAUGCUCUACUAAACAUGCCCUCACCGCAGAACAAGCGCGAAGUCCAACGUCUCACCGGGAGAGUCGCAGCCUUGAACCGAUUCAUCUCGCGAUCCACUGACAAAUGCCUGGCUUUCUACGAUACUCUGCGCGGGAACAAUAAAUUCGAAUGGACCGAUCGCUGCGAAGAAGCUUUCCAGGAACUGAAGAAGUAUUUGGCUAAUCCACCGGUGUUAGCGAAACCAAUCCCGGGCGAGCCGUUAUUCCUGUACAUCGCAGUCUCCGACACGGCUAUAAGCGGAGUCAUAGUCAGGGAAGACAGAGGGGAGCAGAAGCCGAUUUUUUACGUCUCGCAAACUUUCACCGACGCGGAAACACGCUACCCGCAAACUGAAAAACUCGCCCUCGCCGUAGUAAUGUCAGCUCGGAAGCUACGGCCAUAUUUCCAGUCUCACUCGAUUGUCGUCAUGGCGCCCGUAUCGCUCCGAACCAUCUUGCACAGUCCAAGCCAAUCGGGACGCUUAGCCAAGUGGGCAGUAGAACUCAGCGAAUAUGACAUCGAAUACAGAAACAAAACAUGCGCGAAAUCUCAAGUCCUGGCCGAUUUCAUCAUCGAGCUGCCAACAGAGAACGUCCGAGAAGAGUCACCCAACGCUGUUUGGAUCCUCCACGUCGACGGCUCAUCCUCAAAACAAGGUUCUGGCGUCGGAAUCCGCCUCGCAUCACCAGAGGGUGAAAUCCUUGAACAAUCCUUUCGGCUAAAUUUCGACGCGACCAACAACGUGGCUGAGUACGAAGCGCUGAUAGCAGGACUUAAGCUGGCUCGGGGACUUAAGAUCAACAAGCUGCGAGCCUUUUGCGACUCCCAGCUCGUGGCUAAUCAAUUCAAUGGAGAAUACGCGGCUCGCGACGAACGAAUGGAAGCGUAUCUUGCUCUCACGCAAGACUUGGCGAAACAGUUCGGAGAGUUUGAGUUGAACAGAAUCCCACGAGGUGAGAACACAUCGGCCGAUGCCUUAGCGGCUCUAGCUUCAACCUCCGACCCAAAUCUGAAGAGGAUCAUACCGGUUGAGUUCAUCGAAAAGCCGAGCAUUGAAGAUAAUAGCAAAGAUCAAGUUCUAACAGCUCGGGAAACGGAAGAACCGGAAGAAAUGGACAUCGAACAGCUGGACCAGCAAACUACGGACGCAACCGAGCCCGAAUACGGAAGCGACGCCAAAUGGAUCGGAGCCAUCCGAAGCUACAUCGCCGACGGAGAAGUUCCUACUGAAAAAUGGGCAGCUCGGAAGCUUAAGGCCAAAGCGGCUCGGUAUACUCUGAUCGACGGAGAGCUCUUUAAAUGGCGAUUUUCUGGUCCUCUCCUUGUCUGUGUCGAAGGAAACGAAGCUCGGAGAGUCAUGGAAGAAGUACACGGCGGAUCUUGUGGAAACCAUUCCGGCGGGAGAGCCCUAGCCAUAAAGAUCAAACGCCACGGAUAUUUUUGGCCGACGAUGGUCAAAGACUGCGAGAAAUUCUCUCAACGGUGUGAUAAAUGCCAGAGGCACGCACCAACCAUUCAUCAACCCGCCGAGCUCCUCUCUUCCAUCACUUCGCCUUAUCCGUUCAUGCGAUGGUCCAUGGACAUCAUCGGACCUCUACACAACUCCAAACAGAAGAAACUCGUCCUCGUACUAACAGACUACUUCUCCAAAUGGAUCGAGGCAGACUCCUACGCCAGCAUCAAAGACGCGCAGGUCGAAAACUUCGUCUGGAAGAACAUCAUAUGCCGCCACGGGAUACCUUACGAGAUCGUUACAGAUAACGGAUCGCAGUUUAUUUCGGCUCGGUUCAAAGGAUUCUGCGAGAAAUGGGGAAUUCGCCUCAGCAAGUCUACGCCUCGGUAUCCUCAGGGGAACGGACAGGCCGAAGCGGCAAACAAGACGAUUCUCGACGGAAUAAAAAAGCGCCUCGACGCAAAGAAAGGCCGCUGGGCCGACGAAUUAGAAGGAGUACUCUGGUCACACAGAACCACGCCACGGCGAGCCACGGGAGAAACACCUUUCGCCCUUGUCUACGGCACGGAGUGUGUGAUUCCCACCGAAGCCGAGAUCCCGGGACUAAGGAGACGUUUUCUCCCCGAGCAGGAAAAUUCCAACACGCAGAUGAUGCUGGACGAGCUGGACUUAGUUGACGAAAGAAGAGAUUCGGCCUUGGUUCGAAUGCAGAACUAUCAGAAUGCAACGGCUCGGUACAACAACUCUCACGUUAAACAUCGCCGUUUCCACGAAGGAGAUCUCGUACUGCGCAAAGUUUUCCAGAAUACCGCCGAGCAGAACGCAGGCAAACUCGGCGCGAAUUGGGAGGGACCUUACGCGAUCGCAAAGGUAAUCCGUCCCGGCGUCUACGAACUCAUCAACAUGAACGGCAAAGCGGUACCUAGAUCCUGGAACGCAAUGCAUCUAAGGAAAUACUACCGCUAAAAACCUAAGGUACGCAUGUACUCGAACUACGGGGUGACUUGAUCCCUGAAAAGGGUACGUAGGCAGCUCGUCCUCGGACGAGUUCAGCUACCCCCCCUAAUUAAAAAAGGGGGGGAGUGGGUCCGUAUAUCCAUACUCCCACUCAAAACUUUAUCAAUUAUACGUUUCCUAUACUCCUAUUCAAAUUUUAUCAAACUAUAUUUCUAAGUAUACACUUCGGGUUUUUAUCCGAUCAAAUCCACCUCGGUCUUUACCCCGAAACUCGCCUCGGGAAAUCAACACGGUCUAAACUCCGUUCGUUUCGUUUGGGCGAUGGCCACGCCCGCGAACUAAAUUCAUCUACACCUCUACGGUUACAGCGCGCUAUAUAAGCAUCCAAGACAAUUCGGAAGGAGAUAUCCUCCCAUAAAGAAGUUGUCUUCAGAAAACCCAGUUCACUUCUACACUGGUACCCCAGUUCGCUUCUAAGCACUGGCAUCGACUAUAUCAGCUCGGGUCGCAACCGACAAAGAUUAGUCCUACUUACCAAAACCCGGUUUACUUAACACUGGUACACGAUUUGCUUGGUUCGAAAAGUGAUUCGAAAAGCUCUGAGACUAGAAAUUUAUCGAGAACAAAAUAUAUUCAUUAUCAAUAGUGGAUAAAGCCGUCCAGGCAUCAAGUCUUACAAAAAUCGAGAAUUAAAAGGAAUGCGCCACGGAUCUACUCAUCCCGCUCCUCCGGAACAUGUGCGACUUCGGAGCUCAGAUUCGUGCCGGCCUGAUCCCUAAUACCAAUUUCCGCGGCAACCCCUUCGAUUGACCUGUUUCCGAAAUUAUCUUCAACAGAAUCCGGGGAAGCCGGAGGAAGCCUCAGAUCCUCUCGCAGCUCGGUUCCGAUCCGCACAAACUCCUCCUCGGCAUCUCCAUACUCAGCUUUCCACUGGAGAACUUCCUCCUUCUCAUCCUCGACAUUUUUGCCGCCUUCAAGGUCGGCGAUCAAUUCAGCGUUAGCUCUGGCCUGGACGAGGAACAUGUAGCGCUCGGACGCCUUCCCAUACAGGUCCAUCUUCGCUUCUAUCGCCUUGACCUUCUUGGCGAACUCCUUCCUAGCCUUUUUCCUCUCCCGACGUACCUCCUUCUCCCGAAGCGAUUUCUCCUCGGAGAAUAGUCGGUUCAAGCGUUCGAUUUCGGCUUCCAUCUUCCGACGAAGACGAAGACCGUCCUCAGCCACCUUUAAUCGCUCGACCUUCUCUGCCUUAGCCAACGCUUCGGCUUCCCGCCUGGCCUCAUCCGCCUCGGCAACCUUAGUCGCCGCCUCGGCAAUCUUGGCCUCUGCCUCGGCCAUCUUGGCAUCGGCCCCAGCAAUUCUGACCUCCGCCUCGGCUCGGGAAGUCUCAUAUCUACGGUUCGAGGAGUCGUAGGCUCGAACCAUGCGGUUCAUCGAAUGGAAAGCCUGGAACGCAAAAAACUAAAGUUAGUACUAAGAAUUUUAAAAGGCUUAGGAAGCUUCGGAAAUAAACCAUUACCUUCAGGAAUCCCGCAGCAGUUUCGCGGUAAUUUUCAGCCUCCAGCAAGGCCUCGGGCGCAGCUAGGGUCGGACCCGAGCAAGAAGCGAUAAGAUUAGCAGAUGCCGUCUUAUCUUUGUAGAUGGGAGCCUCGGUGCGACUCCUUUUCUCUUUCCUACGACCUCCCGAGCUAUCACCUCGGGGCCUCUUAACCUUCGCCUUAGCUUUCGCCUCGGCACCAAGAGCGACAAUAGCCGAGGUCCCUACCACCUCGGGAAUAUUGGUCACAGGAGAGAUUCGCUCAGCCGCCUCGGGCAUGAUCGAAACCAUAUCCCGAGCUUCAUUGGUCGCCUCGACGCCGACGACUUCAAGACUGGCCUCGGGAGGAGUAGGAGGUCUGAAGUUUGCCUCCAAAACGGCUUUUUCCUUAGCCGCUUUCUUUUCAGCAGCCUUCCUGGCUCUCAGAGAUUGCGCAGCUCCUUGCAUUUCGAUGAGGUGAUCUAGACGGUGGUCGGAUGAUUCUGAAGAAGAUUGGCAGGGAGCUCCGUGCAACAAACGCAAGGCUCUCUCAAUUCUUUCUUGGGAGAAGUGUUUCGUCCAAUCACACUUCCGAGCUAUCAGUUCGUCGUGCAGAUCUAAAAAGCCUUCGGGGACGUCUUCGAGAAAUGACGGAUUCCGAUCUGCGAAAACAAGAAAAUAUUUAGUGAAGUUCAAAGCAAAACAAAACAUCAAGUAUGGCUUCGGGCGUAGUACCAAUCGUUCUCCACUUUCCAACAACUUUCCCUAAGUAGUCCUCGUGGACACUAUACUCAUUCAAGGCUACGAAGAAGAAAUGGUCAGUGUACUUCUCGUCCUUGCUCGGGAAACCACCAAUAACCCUUCUAUUUGGCCUCGGGGAUAUGUAAAAUCUCUCGACGGGGCCAGGUAUGCGCCGAAUCUCUAGGAGAUUCCUUAAGUGGCUAAGGCCGACAAGGUUGACCGUCUCAAUACUCCGGACUAGAAUCCCUAUGAGAUGGCGCAAGCCUCGGGUUGUGAUCUGAGACAGAGCGAUCUUGUACGACCAUAGAAACGCCAAUACAGGCCUCGGAAUCGGAAUCUAUAAGUAGCAAUGGUAGAAGAACCCCUCAUAAAGGGUGAAAAACCCCUCGGGUGGAUCAUCCGCUCGCUCAUUCGAAGUUGGAAGUCUUAGUUCAAUCCCUUCACUAAAACCAAAUCGAGCCUUGAGAUCCCGAAGCGAAUCCUCCGUGCAUAAAGUGGAACCCGGAGGAUCAGGUUUCCUAGCUUUUUUGGCUCGUUUUCUCUUCUGUUGACCCUUGGCUGCUUGGAUUUUAGCUUGGAGCAACCUAGCCGCCUCGUCAGAAUCGUAGUGAACCUCCUCGGCCUUAACAGGAAGUAGAGGCGCCUCGGGGGCAUUUCGCCAGCAUGAAACCCCAGCUUCAUCAGCUGCCGGUGGAUGGACUUUCCUCCUGCUUAAAGUCGCCUCGGGAUCAUCAGGCAAAUCCUGAUCCCGAGCCACAUCUGCAACCGCAUCUUCCCGAGCGAUGAAACGGCUCGGGUCUUCUUCCCGCGAAGCCGACUCUGCAUCACUUCCACGGUACAACACGAUCUGAUGGUCCGUGGUAUCCGCCUCGGGGUCGCUCGAGGAACUCCAGACCAUCUUUCUCUUGUAGACGGGAAGAUGAAUGUCGCCUCGGGGCGAAUCGCUGGAAUCAGAUAGAGACAUUUUCUGGCUCGGGAGAUUGGAGAAUUUUAUCGGAGGAACAAAGCCCGAUAGAUCGGAGAAAUCAACCUAGAUCUAAUGACGGCGGCGCUACGACGGAAGUAUAACGGAAAAAUAGAGAAAAUGCAAAAAAACUCAAGAUCAGAGAAAGAAGAGAACGAACCUCGAAAAAUUUCCUUUGCAGUUGCGAAAUGAGAGAAUGAGUCCGAGACUUAACAUUUAUAGGGACUUAAGGCGCGUCGGGUACGAACCAAAUAAAAACAUCGCGUUCGCGUCUAAGGCGCGUCGGGCACGCACAAAUCAAAUAAGAUACUUCGCAUCCGCACCAAUCUCGGGAAUCAGCGAAAGGACCUUUCCACUUCUCGAGAAGGAAUCCCAACCGUCACACGCCAAGAGAAGAUGAAACGACAGAGGAAUUCAAACCGCUAAAGGGACCGAACUAUUCAAAGUAAACGGCUCGGCCUAAUUGUCACAGCUCGUCACGCUCGGCCCUCCAAACUAACGAGCUGGGGGGCUAACUGUUGGGGUCGGAUUCCAUCCUUUAGCGCCAAGCCAGACUUAGAAUACUUCGGGAGUCUUUCGGCGAUCGCCUCGGGGUAUCGCAUCAUUCACCUCGGGAUAUCCCGAACAAGACAUCGAAAGCACCCGAGCCCAAUUGCCUCGGGGGUACCCGAGCCCAUCGCCUCGGGAGUUUCUGAGCCCAUCGCCUCGGGGACACCCGAAGAAGCCAUCCUAGAGUGCCCGAGCCGUUUCUUCCUGUGUACCCGAGCCAGUUGCACAAGUUCCCCGAGGCGAAGUCUUCAUCGUCGCCCGAAGCAAAGACUUAGUAAAUAUUCUUCUUUAAAGGUAUCAUUUCCAAGCAUAUUAUCAUUUCCGAAAAAGAAGGAUCAUUUCCGAUAAACUCGGAAAUGAUAAGGAAGAAUCUCGAAGGAUCAACUCAAAUCAGGAAAUCUUCCAAAAGACUCCGAAGAAUAAGGAAACUAUCCUAAUCCGCGAUAUUCUAAGCCGACUUCAAGAUAAAUGGAAAUCUUCCGAGAAUAUCGCUGGAGAGGCGGUUCAUCACCCCUAUAUAAAGAGACUCAAGGCUCUCGCAGAAGGCAAGCAAUAUCGCUCUAGAAAGUACACUACGCAAAGCUCUCACAGCACGAACACUUUUUCUUUUACGAUCAAACUCUUGUACGAUCAAAAUCAUCUUUUCAUUAAUAAUAUCAAGAACACCAUCUUUGGUAUCAAUCGUUUCUGUUGUUCUUUGAGAAUUCACGAUUAUCGUAUCCCUAAAAUAAAACCCUAGACAAAUCUUGAUUGUGUUAGUUUCGACCUCCACAAGUAUAUGCAAUUCUUCCAUAUUAUUGUUUUUUUUUGGAGCUAUAAAGAUAUGCUAAAUUAUAUUUUAUUAAAUAUCUUCCUUUUCAACACUGUAUAAAGGGUGCUCACUUUUGGUUCUAAGUUUUUGGACUUAUAUUUUCCGUCGAGCUACUCUAUGAUUACUUUCGCAUCUUUAUCGAAUAAUUGUUUGGUGCAUUGUCCCCUAAUUAGAAUCUAUAGAUAUAAAAUAUAUUAGUGUAAGAACAACAUAUAUAUAUUAGAGGUAUAUACAUAGUUAAAACAAAAGUGAAGCCGGUCUAUUAAUAUAAUAAUAAUAAUUUGCAUUUUAUGUGAUGAUAUUGGGAGGGGGAAGAUGUGUCACAUUCUGCUCAAUGUAAAUAAUAUAAAGUGGAAGAUGAGGAGCAGUUUUAAACAUGUAAACUACUUACAAGGUUUAAUGUCAGUAUAUUAAAGCUAAAGUAGUAUAAAAUCUUAAAUCUUAUAAUACUUGAAUGUCCUCCAUAUAUGACCAUGUUUAUGAAUAACACUAUAAACAAUUUUAGAGAUGCUCAAAAGUAGCACAAAAAUAUCCUCUAAGUUUAGCAUAUAAACCUUAAAAUCUCGUAUUAACACGGUUAAAGACAUAUAUUUAUGUGGGAGGAACUUAAAUAAGUAUCAGGUUUUGUGCUUUUGGGAUAACAUGUAAUGUGACCAAUAAUGCUACACAUUGUUAACUUUCCUCAACAAUUAGGCCUUUUUGUGUGUGUGUGUGUGUUGGUGAGUCAUCAGCUUUCCUCCACAAUUAGGUCUUGCCAAGUUUAAAAUGUCCGACGUCGCAUUUUGGCUAUUUCCUGAUAAGUUAAAUGAAUAGAGUGGACUGAAACAUCAUUAGAUUCCUAAUCAAAUUGUUCUCUUAUUUAUCCACUUGGAUGGUCCAUAAGAAACCCACAAUUGAAUAAUCAAUUUACUAACUUCUGGAUUACGAAUAAAUCAACGAGCAAAUGCGCCGGUUUCACAUUAUCCAAAAAUAUAUACAAUAAUUAAACCUGUACUGCAACUAUUUAUAUAUUUAUAUGGUACUAGUAGACGCAUUUCAAUUAGUUAUUUAACAGUAUAGUAAGUUAUUAAAAUUUUAAAAAAUAUUUAUCGUAAUAAUAACUUGAGGAGCAUGGUUCAUGAUUUAAGAGAGGAGUUGAAUAUGGAAGGCUGUCAUGCUGAUGAUGCUAAUUUUUUGGAGACCAUAUCGAUAUUAAUUAAAUUUUAAUUAAAUUCAUUUUAAUUCGGCGAAUCACACAUUUAUUGUACAAAUUGCAAAGAAAACGAAAAGUUUGAUUAAGAAGAAAAAUAUAUGGAAGUGAGAGCAUAUAAUCGAAACAAUUAUCGAUGUGAGAGCAUAUAUAAGAGCAUAUGUGAAUGUUGUAUUGUAUGUAUGAAGUGACGAACCUAAAACUAUAAAUAAACAUGGAUCACAAUGAUCAUGAGUCCUACUUUUACCCGACAUCCUAUUGUCUUUUUUUUUUGGAGAUUCACAAAAAUGCCCCUUUUUCAAUACCCCUUUUUAAAAAUGCCUCCUUUGGCUGUCCAUUUUUAAAAAUACCCUUUUUUAUGUACAAAAUGGCUAAAUUACUCUUCUUUUAAUAAAAGAUAUCACAAAUAUAUAAGGAAAUAUAACAAAAUUAGGUCCACAAAAUACAAAAUAUUUUUUGGCGGGAAAAGUGAGCCCUCAAUUUUUCCCGCCAAAACACUUGUAAAAAACCUUUAAAAUACCUUGUAAAGUUUUCCCGUAAAAUUUUUUCCCGCCAAAAAAUUUUCCCGCCAAAAAAUUUUUUUGCGGGAAAAGUGAUUCCGUAAUUUUUUUGGCGUUAAAUUGUUGGCGGGAAAACAUNNNNNNNNNNNNNNNNNNNNNNNNNNNNNNNNNNNNNNNNNNNNNNNNNNNNNNNNNNNNNNNNNNNNNNNNNNNNNNNNNNNNNNNNNNNNNNNNNNNNAGAUAUAUAAGAUGUACAAGCUAUUUAUAAGGUUUACAAGUUAUAAGAUUUACAAGUUUUUAUAAGGUUUACAAGUUUUUUACAAGUUAUAAAUUCCUUAUAAAAUUUUAUAAGUACCUUGUAAAACCUUUUAAAAUACAUUGUAAAACCUUACAAAACACUUGUAAAUAUUUCGUAAAACCUUUAAAAUACCUUGUAAAUUUUUCCCGCCAAAAAAAUUUCGCCAAAAAAAUUGCGGAAUCACUUUUCCCUCAAAAAAAAUUUUUGCGGGAAAAUUUUUUGGCGGGAAAAAUUUUUACGGGAAAAUUUUACAAGGUAUUUUAAAGGUUUUUUACAAGUGUUUUGGCGGGAAAAUUGCGGGAUCACUUUUCCCGCCAAAAAAUAUUUUGUAUUUUGUAGACCUAAUUUUGUUUCAAAUAAGGGUAAAAUGGUCAUUAAAAAUUAAAAGAGGGCAAACUUAAAAAUGGACUUUCAAAGGGGGCAUUUUUGAAAAGGGGUAUUGAAAAAGGGGCAUUUUUAAUUUUUUAACUCUAUAUAGUAUUUAUAAUUUUAACUCUAUCUGUGGUCCCUAAAUUUACAUGCUAUAUCUGUGGUAAUUUAGGUAUACUACAGAUAGAGUUACGUCUUAGCAGGAUUGAUAUUAGCAUGUAAACUAAAGGUUCGAAUUCAAUAUCCUAGAAUUCAAAAAUGAUCACUGUACUGUAAUUUAGAUAAGACAAUUAGGUAAUUAAUAAAAACAAACAACAAAAAAAAGUUUUUAGAAUUUGUCAACUUCCAAUUCAGUAAUCUAAUAUCAUUGACUUUGUAAAACCCCUUGACAUACGUCAAUAGAAGAUCUUGCAAAGAUUUUAUUUCACUAAAAAAUAAAUUAUUUGUUGAGAUGCCGAACUUAGGAACUAAUUUAUAUAUCAAUAUGUGUCCUUUCUAUUAAUUGUUUAACUGUUGUUUCGUCAGGUUAAUAUCGACACAAAAAUUAUAUAACCUGAGCCUUAAUUUAUUACAAUUAUUACUAACGCGAGAAUGACUAACAAGGUUUUUAAAUUCUUUUUUUUUUUUUUUAAAUUAUAAUGUAGGCCAAAAUCCGUCUAAUCUGGUGGGUUCAAGAACAACGAAGCUGUUCCAAACGGAAAUCAAACAAAAGGGAAUGAUUUUGUUUCCUAUAACAUCUAUUUUGUUAAAACUUACUAUUUAUUUAUUUUUAAAAAAUUUGUGAUAUCCAGUUUACAAAUAGACUUUAUGAAAAGUUAUAGAUAGAAGGGGAAAAAAAGAGAGUUAUAGAUAGACAAAAGGUUACUUAAAUAGUGAUUAUAAAUAAACGAUAUAUAUAAACUAAAAAGUGAAGUUACACAUAAUUGUUCGAAAGCAUUAUUAUUUUCUUUUUGUUAAGGUGUUCGAAAGUAUUUAACCAGUAACCACCGCUGGAUACAUUUGGAUAAAUAGAAACAAAUAUUUUAUGUAACGAUAGUAUUAGUAGUAUCAAUAAACUAUAAUUUUGACAUAAAGUCUACGUGGAGUGGAUGAAUUAGUGGGUUCCAAUUAAUGAUACAAAAGUAUAUAAAUUGUGAUCAAAGGAAUAUUGGUAUAAUAAGGAAUAUUACUUGUACUAAAAAUAAUCAAAUACAGGUCAAUGCUUUGUAUAUACUAUAUACUAUAUAUAGUAUAUUUACAAUUAAAAUAAAUUUUGUUGUGUCAUGUCAUAUGGUUAGAUAUAAAUUAUAAUAAACAUAGCUCUCGGUCUCGUGAGCAAAAUAAAUAGCUUUCACUUACAAAAUUAAAUCAUAUCAUAUUGUAUCCAAACUUACAAAAUUACAUCUUUUCUUUCUUAAGACAGUGAGUUCUUGAGGAUGUAAUUUGUACAUAAAGUAAAUCCCAUAUGUUAUUUUUUUUUUCUCUAAUUAAGUCUUUUCUGAAUUAGGCCAAAAAAAGAGAACUUAAAUGAAAUUUCAAAUCGACACGUAUACCGCCACGGGUAAAUGAAAGGCACAUGCUGAUGCUAUGAAAUAUUGACAUGCGCAUGUGAGCCACCAAAGAUUCUCAGGUUGUUAAGCUAAACAUGAUUAUGAGAGCGGUUAAGGCCAAUUAAUGAUUAGGAAUUAGGAUGUUAAGCCGUAUCCAACAGAAACAAAUCUUUAAUAGUCCUGUUUCCUAAUAAUUGUCUAUCUUUUGUUUUUUUCCUCUUGAAAAUGGUUAUGAUACUUCAUACUUUAUAUGAAUUAUAUAUAUAAUAUAUAUUUGUUAAUUUAUCGAUAGAAAUUGUUAGAUCAGGACUAUUUCAAUGUUUUUUCUCAUAAUUUUCUUGUUAGUGUUAAAAAUUUUAUUAGAACAAUUUGUAUUGAGAAAUUAGUAAAUUUAUUAAUUAACUUCUCUGUUAGAUGAAGCAUUUCUUUCCGACAAGACACCAGGAUAAUCCCAUACCGCCACAACACAUGCAUAUAAUGAUGCUCCAUCGUCCAACUUAUGGAAUUGAGCGAAAGCUCAUAAUUAACUGCGGUUAAAACAUAACACGUAGUAUAUCUAACAAGAAUUGACACGUAAAAAAAAAAACUUUUAGGAAGUGUAAUUAACAACAGUAAUUUUCUUUUGUAAAACAUUGUUUCGCUCCAAAUCCAGGGUGGGAGUGCAAGUUUGUGAGAUUUAUGAAAACAUUAGAUUAUAUGAAGUUAUGUAACUAGCUGCACAGAUUUUUAUUUUCUGAGAGCUAAAAUAUGACGCGAAAUACGUUUGCGGAUAAUGAGUUUUGUGAAAGCUAAAAAACAUCAUGUAUAUAUUAAAUUUUCUUCAGUUAUAUUUUUUUGGGUUAAGAUAAUCAAAUUGUAGUAUUAGAUUCUGAAAUGGUUAAUGCAGAACAUUAACAAAUUUGUGGGCUUAAUGGGCUUCGACCGGGCAAGUUAUAUAUAACGUGUAUCGACAAUUUAGUUCAGUUCAUUUGUAGCAUGUAUACUAAACAGUAAACACAUUCAAAACUUGAUUUUGCACAUGUUUAAAUAAGAUGUGAUAUACUAUAAUAAAAAGAAUCUUUUUUUGGAAGAAAUUAUUUUAUGUACUUAAUUAGAUGCCAUGAAAUUAAAAUAUUUGUUUCUGCAGAGAAAAUUGUUCUAAAUCAUUUAUGUCAAAUUACAUUUAUUAAUUUCCAGAUAGCUUCAUAUCAUACGCACACUUACAUUAAUUAAAAAAUAUAAUUUUUUUGAAGUAACAAACUAGGUAAAAAAUGCUUUGAUAAUUUUCUUCAAAGAGAAACGGAAUAUAAAAAGAGAAACGGAAUUUCUCUUCAAAGGGUUAUUGUGGUUGGUCAGAAUUUUCCUAAAAGGUAUGAUGUUGGUCGAUUGUGUUUGGAUUUUGCGUAUAUGGAGUUGAGUUUUAGUGGUUGUAAAAAAUGGUUUUACUACGGUUUGAUUUCCGGUUUUUUAUGGUUGGUUGUGGAUACUAUAAGGGUUAAAAUAUCUAGAUUCAAUUGUGAUUGAGUUUCUUUAAAAAAGAAUCAAAGGAAUGCAGGUCAUAACUCGACGCACUAUGGCACGGUAAAGGACUUCACGGGUGGACGCAACCCACCGAAACACAAAGUUGAUAAAUGAAGGUUUUGAGUUGGAAUUGUCAAGGACUUGGAAAUAAAGCAACUAUCGGUUAUCUUAGGGAUAUAUGGAAACAACACCGGCCAAACUUUUUAUUCCUUUCGGAGACAAAACAACCUUCUUGGUUUAUGGAAAAAUUUAUCGGUCAUUUUGGUUACAAAAAUUUAAAAACAGUUGAUCCUAUCGGUUGUAGUGGCGGUUUAGCCCUUUAUUAUAAUAAUGAUUUUAAUGUUUCAAUUAUUUAUGAAAGUAAUCGUUUAAUUGAUGUUGAGGCGGUGAUAAAAGGAAAAACAAUACAUCUUACUUUCGUUUAUGGUGAUCCGGUUCCGAAAAAUAGAGAUCAAGUUUGGGAACGGUUAACACGGAUCGGUUUGAUUAGAGACACACCCUGUUUCUUAAUAGGUGAUUUUAAUGAGUUAACUGGAAAUCACGAGAAAAGAGGUGGUACUUUAAGACAUGCAUCUUCUUUUAUCUCUUUUAAUUUAAUGAUUCAAAAUUGCGGUCUUUUAGAGUUUCCAUAUAUCGGAGAUUGGUUAUCAUGGCGGGGUUGGCGGGAUAAGAAACCAAUACGGUGUCGGUUGGAUAGAGCUUUAGCAAACGAAGAUUGGCAUGAAUUAUUCUGCAAUUCUUUCGUUGAAUAUUUACCAAUGGUAGCUUCCGACCAUUCACCGGUGGUAGCUACGCUCAUGGAUAAGGUCCCACAUGGGAAAAGAAAUUUCAGAUUUGAUAAAAGAUGGAUUGGAAAGGAAGGAUUACUCGAGGCAAUUUCAAAUGGUUGGAAUUCUGACCCUCAGUUAGGAGGGGGAAAAUUUGUGGAAAAAUUGACUAAUUGUAGGCGGGCUAUUUCACAAUGGCGGAAAAAUUUAACUCCCUAUGGGCGGCGAACAAUUGAGGAACUAAAAUCGGAAUUAAUUCUGGCACAGAGAGAUGAUAGGAGACCACGGGAAGAGAUUACAGAAUUAACAUUGCGGUUGAAAGAAGCUUAUCGAGAUGAGGAAUUGUAUUGGCAUCAGAAAAUUAGAAGCUCUUGGAGGCAACUAGGGGAUAAUAAUUCAAAGUAUUUUCAUGCUCUAACAAAACAAAGACGGGCAAGGAAUCGAAUAACGGGGCUACAUGAUAAAAACGGAAUUUGGUUUGCAGAGGAUAAAGAUAUUCAAAAUAUAGCAGUAUCUUAUUUUCAGGAACUGUUUACUACAACUAAGCCUGAGGCUUUUGAGGAAUCCUUGGCAGAAGUUCAAUCUCUGAUUACGGAUCAGAUUAAUAAUUUUCUAACGGCACCCGCAACGGAAUGUGAGGUGAGAACGGCUCUGUUUAUGAUGCAUCCGGAAAAAGCACCAGGUCCUGAUGGAAUGACAGCCUUAUUUUUCCAAAAGGCUUGGGUUACUAUUAAAACAAACCUUCUUUUUCUGGUUAAUUCUUUUUUAGAGGAUGAAAUUUUUGAUAAACGGUUAAACACGACUAAUAUUUGUAUGAUUCCAAAAACGGAAAGACCGACACGGAUGACGGAAUUACGGCCUAUCAGUCUUUGCAAUGUUGGGUACAAAAUUAUAUCAAAGAUUCUUUGCCAAAGACUCAAGACGGUGCUACCAAAACUGAUUUCGGAAACACAAUCGGCUUUUGUAGAAGGACGAAUGAUUUCAGAUAAUAUUCUCAUUGCACAAGAGAUGUUUCAUGGGUUGAGAACUAACCCAUCAUGUAAAGGAAAAUUUAUGGCCAUUAAAAAGGAUAUGAGUAAAGCUUAUGAUAGGGUGAAAUGGAUUUUCAUAGAGAAGGUUUUAAGAAAAUUGGGUUUCUGUGAAAAAUGGAUUAAGUGGAUAAUGUGGUGUAUUACAACGGUCCAAUAUAGAGUUCUUCUUAAUGGACAACCUAGAGGACUAAUAGUACCAGAGAGGGGUUUACGACAAGGAGACCCGCUCUCACCUUAUCUAUUCAUCUUGUACACUGAAGUGCUAAUUGCAAAUAUUCGAAAAGCUGAACGGGAAAAAUUAAUUACGGGUAUCAAAGUAGCAAAUGCAAGCCCUUCAGUUUCACAUCUGUUAUUUGCGGAUGAUAGUUUAUUUUUUUGCAAGGCUAACAAGGACCAAUGUGGGGUAAUUUUGGAGAUUUUAAAGAAGUAUGAAGCGGUCUCGGGACAGCAGAUUAAUUUUUUAAAAUCUUCGAUUCAGUUUGGGCAUAAGGUAGAUGAUGAUAUUAAGGAAGAAAUCAAAUCUACCUUAGGUACCACUAAUAUCGGUGGAAUGGGUUCUUAUCUUGGAUUGCCGGAGAGUUUAGGGGGAUCGAAGACAAAAAUCUUCUCUUUUGUCAGAGAUAGACUACAAACAAGGAUUAACGGAUGGUCGGUAAAAUUUUUAUCAAAAGGGGGAAAAGAAGUGAUGAUAAAAUCGGUAGCUGCAGCAUUACCAACUUAUGUUAUGUCAUGCUUCAGAUUACCAAAAACAAUCACUUCUAAACUUACUAGUGCGGUUGCUAAUUUUUGGUGGAGCUCAAAUGGUGAUUCCAGAGGUAUGCACUGGAUGGCUUGGAAUAAAUUGUGUAAUAGCAAAUCAGAAGGGGGAUUAGGGUUUCGGAACGUUGACGAUUUUAAUUCAGCUUUACUAGCAAAACAAUUAUGGCGGUUGAUCAUGGUUCCUGAUUCUCUUUUCACAAAGGUGUUUAAAGGAAGAUAUUUUAGGAAAUCCAAUCCUUUGGAAAAUAUAAAAUCAUAUUCUCCAUCAUAUGGAUGGUGGAGUAUAUGUUCAGCUAGAUCUCUGGUUAAUAAAGGACUUAUUAAAAGAGUCGGAUCUGGGACAUCCAUCUCGGUUUGGGAGGAUCCCUGGAUUCCAGCUCAAUUCCCGAGACCAGCAAAAAGUAAUGGUUCAAUUGCUGACCCAUCAUUAAAAGUUAACGAUCUUAUAGAUAGUCGGUCGAAUUUUUGGAAUAUUGAUCUCUUAAAAGCGAUCUUUGAUCCAGAAGAUGUCGCGCUAAUAAGCGCCAUACCUGUGGGUGCACCAACAAAGGAAGAUUCUUUGGGUUGGCAUUUUACAAAAUCCGGAAAAUAUACAGUUAAAUCGGGAUAUCAUACCAUACGGAUAGAAAAGUCGGAGACCAAUUUACCUUUUUUUGGCCCUGACAUCAAAUUUCUAAAAGCACAUUCUUGGAAAGUGCAAUGUCCACCUAAGAUACGCCAUUUCUUGUGGCAAAUCUUAACGGGUUGUGUACCGGUUACGGAAAAUUUGCGAAAAAGAGGAAUUGAUUGUGACACGGGAUGUGCUAGAUGUGGCGCAAUAGAGGAAACGAUCAAUCAUACACUCUUUCAGUGCCACCUGGCACGGCAGAUUUGGGCACUUUCACAGAAUUCCUACGACUAUAGGGAUUUUUCCCACAGAAUCAAUUUUUGCGAAUUUGGAUCAUUUAUUUUGGAGAAUACCUUCGGAAUUUGAUUCAUCAGCCUUCCCAUGGAUUAUUUGGUAUAUUUGGAAAGCAAGGAACGAAAAGAUCUUUGAAAAUUUAGACAAAGACCCAAUAGAGGUAUUACGAUUAGCGGAAAAAGAGGCACAAUUGUGGCAGUCAGCUCAAAUUGAGCUCCAUAAUGAAAAUCAUGGGUCUAUGGACUUGGUGAAUCGAACUCGAGUGAGGGAUGCUUUACUUGAGUCGAAUUAUUCUGGAUACCGUUGUUUUGUGGAUGGAUCAUGGAAAGAAAGUGAUAAGUUCUCCGGUACAGGAUGGUUCUGUACAUCGUCAAAUGGAGAACCGCCAACCAUGGGAGGUGCGAACCUCCGUAGAAGUCUAUCUCCACUCCAUGCCGAAGUCGAGGCCCUUCUCUGGGCGAUGAAGUGUAUGAUUGGUGCAGAUCAUCAAGAGGUAGCGUUCUUUACAGACUGUUCAGACCUGGUGAAGAUGGUGUCUUCUCCAACCGAAUGGCCGGCGUUUUCAGUGUAUUUGGAGGAAUUUCAUAGCGAGAAAGAAGAGUUUUUAUCUUUUUCUUUAUCUUUAAUUUCUCGAAGAGCUAAUGUUAAAGCGGAUAAUCUGGCACGAAAAGUUCGUACAGAACCGCUUCAUAUCACAUAUGUAAACAACAUUCCCCAGUAAUGACUCUUUUGAGCUUUAAUUAAUUUCUAAUGACAAAAAAAAAAAAAAAAAAAAAAAAAACUAGGUAAAAAAUAAUUUUAUGGUAACAAAUGAUUUUAUAGUACAUUGAUAUAUAUCAAUUGUCGUAAUACAUUCCAAGGUUAUAAAAAUAAUAGAUUAACAUUCAUUUUUGAUCGAAAUUUGAUAUCACCACAUUAUUUUUACAAAUAAACCUCUAGAAGUUGCCUAUUUAGUACAUAUACUAGGAUCGGACCCGCGGUCCACCGCGGAAGAAUAUUGGUUUACAUACGUUGAUUUUAAUAGUACGUGUUUUAAGUAGAGCGAAUCGGAUAGUGUACUUAUAAAUAUUCAUAAUAACGAAUUGUAGAGAAAAUGUAAAUUGUUUAUAAUUAAACCGAUCAUAUUAAUUAUGAUUAAAAAAUAGAAUUUUAUGUUUUAGAAUUCUAAAAUUAGAUGAUUCAUAGGAAUUAGAGCAGUAAAAAUAGGUCAAAAACCGUGGGUCGAGCCCAAAUCAGCUCACUAUGGGGCAUAUUUGUGAAAAUAUAUUAAACCCGUAAAUAAACGGGCCACACGGAUUGAUUCGCAGUGGAUCAUAGGUUUUUAUCGGUUUUCGUCCGCGGGUUGGCGGAUCAGCCCGCAUGUUAGUAUUUAUUGAUAAAAGUAUAAUUUAUUCAACAUUUGGUAAUUUAAAAUUUUUUUAAUAAAUGAAAUUAUAAUAUUCAUAAAUAUAAUGAGAUAUAAAAUUAUUUCCUCUAAUUUUUAUUUAUUUAUUUAUUUUAGUAGUAUUUAAAAAUUUCGUUACUUUAAAAUUAUUUAAACAAAAUCCACGGACAACCCCGCAAAUCAGCAUACAUUCGCGGGACGGAUUUGUGUUUUCAUAUAUGCUAUCUGCGGGUCGUGUGGACCAACUAACUAUAUGUCAAAAUAUAUUUUGUCUAUCACAAAACGGGCUUAACGGGAUGAAUCAACUCGCUUUGACAGCUCUAGUGGGAAUAUUAUUUAGUCAUACAACAAAAUAGAGUUUGGACAUAGGAAUAAUAGAAUCUAUAUCCUAUUUCUUAGAUGAGAUAUUGAAAAUUUGAAAGGUGAAAUAUAACGAUUAAUAAUUAAUUAUUAUUUUUCAUGAUUCGCAAAAUUUAAUAAAUAUUUAUCAUCUUGUUGAAUAAUUCUAAAAAUCAUAUUCAAGAAAUCUUUAUAAUUUUAAAAUUAAAUUUCUUUGGUAAGUUAUAAAUAUGAAAAUACCAUAAUUUCGUUUAAUUUAAUUAAAUUUAAUUUACACGACCAAAAUAAAAAUAUCUAUUUAAUUUAUAAAAUAGAUGGGUUAGUUGUGAUAAAUUUUCUAGAAAUCUUUUGAAGCAAGUAAGAUAUCUUUCAAUUAAUGCUAAUUGGCUAAAAUAAGCAAAAUUAAUGACAAAAACGUUGAUUAUUAUGGAAUUAGUUCCAAAAAUAUAUGAACAAAUAUAUUAUACGUAAUUAAUGUAUAGUAUUGUUCGGAAUAUGAUUUUAUAAUUAGUUACCAUAAAUACAAUCAUAUUUAAUUUGAUUUCAAUAAAUAUUUUAUUUUAGUUUGAUUUUUUAUUAUUUAAUAUUAAUUAGAAAUCAUAAUCCAAAAAAAAUUGAAAGAUCCGAUUUCAGAAGUUUGGGUCAAUUUUCUGAUUUUGACCCGACCCAUUUACAUUUGUACUUCUCUUUUAAUAAUAUAGAGAUUUUUGUUUUUCGAAUAAGUUAACAUUUUUCUUAUGAACCUAUAAAACCAAAAAUACCAAACUGAAACUAAACCAAAACCUAUUUGAAAGUACAAUAAUUCGUGAACCAAAAGUACAUAACUUUGUAUGUAUUUUGUCAACAAAUAACAAUGCUUUAAGAAAAAUAUAAAACAUUAUUUUUUUCUUAAAAAGAAGUUCAAUAGUGUUCUCUGCAACAUGUAAGCAUAUAUACUUAUAUACUCCUUAGUUUUUUUUUUUUUAUAUUAUAUUUCUCUUUCUCUAAGUAUUGCGAUCAUCUAAUUACUUAAAAUCUCUCUCAUUUGAAUUCUUCUUCUGUUUUAGAUUCUAGGUCAAAACACUUGAUCCAAUAUCUUUGCGAUCUGUGCCUAAAUUAAGUUCUCUUUGAUAGAAAGUUUUCAACUUUUAAUUUUUUUUUUUAUUCGACGAAAAAACCUCCGGCGAUGGUUUUGUCGGCGAAACAAACCCUCCCUACGAAGAUCGGACUUUUCCGACGAAACCCUUCUUCCUCACUACGAAGAUCUCCUGUUUCUCUCUCGUUUCCAUCGACGGAGCUUCCAAAACGUACCGUUUUAGCCGUCUCAAAGCCGCUUCAUCUCUCUUCUCUGAGAGCUAAGUCUCCGGUAGUGAGAUGUGAAGCUUAUGAAGCUGACCGAUCAGAGCCUCAGCCGAUCGAUGAUGCUGCGGCGGCGGAAACGAAAUCAGAGGCGGCUAAGAAAUUGAAGAUCGGGAUUUACUUUGCUACUUGGUGGGCUUUGAACGUUGUGUUCAAUAUCUACAACAAGAAGGUCUUGAACGCUUAUCCUUACCCAUGGCUUACGUCGACGCUUUCUCUUGCCGCUGGUUCGUUGAUGAUGCUAAUCUCUUGGGCUGUUGGGAUCGUUGAGACUCCAAAGACUGAUUUUGAUUUCUGGAAAACUCUUUUUCCGGUAAGUGGGUUGGUGGGGAAACGAAGUUUGGUGGGUUGGUGAGAAAAUUUUGGGAAAAAAGGUUGAAACUUUAGGUUUGAUUUCGAUGUUUACGAUGAUGGGUAUUGAGGUUUAAGGUCAAAUUGAUGCAGAUCUUGCAGGAAUAUUUGUUGUUUUUUUGUUACUUGAGUGAUUUGCAUAGUUUUGUUUGCUUCCUAAGAAAAAACUUAUGGAGAGAGAAGAAAGUGAUGUUUUUUUGGCUGUGUUUGUGUUCAUAGGCUGCUGAAUUUUAAUAGCUAAAUUCUGAAAAUUCAAGUGUCAACAAAAUCAGCUUGUUAUUAUUUAGCUUCUAGUAAAUCAUUCUUGUUUAAAGUAUUGAACUUUUUGAUAUUUUGUUGUAGUAAAAGUGGUUUUUGUUUGAGUGUGUAUAGGUUGCUGUGGCACAUACAAUUGGUCAUGUGGCUGCAACGGUGAGUAUGUCAAAGGUUGCGGUUUCGUUCACUCACAUCAUCAAGAGUGGUGAACCAGCGUUUAGCGUGCUUGUCUCGAGGUUCCUUUUGGGUGAAACCUUCCCUACUUCGGUUUACUUGUCCCUCAUUCCAAUCAUCGGUGGUUGCGCUCUGUCUGCCCUUACCGAGCUUAACUUCAACAUGAUUGGUAACAUAUAUCUAUUGAUACGUUUGGUCAUGUAUCCUAUGCUUUUUCUUAAUCUUUUUUGUUAGAUAUAUCAUAUAUUUGAUGCAUUGAUGUGUAAUUGCGACUGAUUUGAAAUGGCUUUGCAUGUUUGAUAUUGGCUUUAAAUCUGCAAUCCUGCUUUUCAGGUUUUAUGGGAGCUAUGAUUUCGAACUUGGCUUUCGUCUUCCGUAACAUCUUCUCGAAGAAGGGAAUGAAGGGAAAGUCUGUGAGCGGAAUGAACUACUACGCCUGUCUCUCAAUGUUGUCCCUAUUGAUCCUCACUCCCUUUGCGAUUGCGGUUGAAGGACCUCAGAUGUGGGUCGAUGGCUGGCAAACGGCGCUCGCUACUGUCGGACCACAGUUUGUCUGGUAAUUUCCCUCUACAAUCUCUUACGAAAAGACAACUCUUUUAAACUCGAAAGAUAGUUUUGUUACGUGUUUAAUGCAUACUUGUCCUGUUCCUAGAAUCCAUUGUGAAUGACCCACUUGUUAAGUUCUUGUCUUUAGCUCUCAAAUUUUUUGUUAUCAUCCAAAUGAUUAACAAUCCUGGAGUCUUUUUAGUGAUUAGGCCAAUGAAUCCAUCUCAUUCGCUUAUCCGAUUCCACUUUUUCUUCAAUCAAAUUUGCAGGUGGGUGGCUGCGCAGAGUGUGUUCUAUCACCUCUACAACCAAGUGUCUUACAUGUCUUUAGACCAAAUCUCUCCCUUGACAUUUAGUGUUGGUAACACCAUGAAACGUAUAUCUGUCAUUGUCUCAUCCAUCAUUAUCUUCCGCACUCCAGUCCAGCCCGUUAACGCCCUUGGAGCCGCCAUUGCUAUCCUUGGAACCUUCUUGUAUUCCCAGGUAAACACAACCUUAUAUUGACCAAAAUAUCCUUAUUAUCGAAAUGAUAAAUGAUAAAUAAGUCUUUGGCUUCAAUUCACACCCACAUGAUGAGACUUAAGUCACAUAACGCUAUCUUCUUCCACAUUAUCAAGAAACCGUCUUUAGUUUAUUGGUUUGGUGUAAUGCCGCACUAAUAAUUCAAGAAUCAAGAUUCUUGAUUCGGCGUUUAAUGUUUCGUUAUCCUGGUUUGCGCGUGAUGUGCAGGCAAAGCUCUGAUUCGGAAGACAGAAGGGUGUCCGGGUCUGGUGUUGAGCUCGUGAUUUCGGUUAAAACCGGGAAAAGAGCUUAAUGUAGAUAUUUGUCCUCAAUAAUGAAAGAAAUGAUGAGAAUGGACACUCACACUACAGUGUUUAGAGUGUGUUAGGCAGUUUUUAAUUUGAGUUUUUUUUUUUUUUAAUUUGGGGGAAGUGAGAAGAUUGCCUCUUUGUAACUAAAGUGGGAAAUAGAUAUUUGUCCCCUUUGAGAAUAAGACACCCUGAAACUCUCUUUUCAACUAGGAGAGAAAUAUUACUAAAAAGUGAGAAUAUUAUCUCGAGAUUAUUCUGCUUUGCUGUCAUAAAGAGAGAAAUCAGUACAUUUUCUUUUAACUUUCAUGCUCUAGUUAUGUCGGAAAAAGCUGAUGUCGAAGUUAUAUCUUGGAGAGUAAUGGAGAGUAUUCUAUUGACAAAAAGAAACCACCGACACCGAGACAAAAGUAAUGCUAAUGCAUGGACACGGAGGGAGGCAUUAGAUUUGGUUCAGACUCGGAAAAGAGAGAGACAUGUCUCUUGGGAUUUCAGAAGAGGCAGAGAGAUAUGUUUGGUGAAGAAUAUACUCAAACAAGAUUCUCUCUCUAUUGCUUAUAUUAUUAUUUUCAUACAUCAAAGUCACCACUUCUCUUUUUUCUUAAAUCUUAAGGGGAACAUGACUUUGGCAGAUGCUAUAUGAGUAUAUGCGAAUAUAUGUCUUCUAGCAAUUGGACCUCUUUCCAAUGUUAACAUCUAUUAUGAAAUUAAAGAAGCUGUAGUAGAGUUCUGAGAUAAUAUUCCAUGUUUGUAUCUGCAAAAGUAGGAUUUCAUUUUGAAAACCAAAAAGAAAGCAAAUUGAGAAACGAAACAUUCGAGCUCUUUCAAGAAUAUGAAAUGUUUUUUUUAUUCAUGAUACAUUUAUUCAAGUUUUGCUCUCUUCGUAAUCUUUUUCUAUUUCCAAUUUUGUUGGAAACGUCGUGACCAGAGAGAAGCAAAGUACUUAACAGAUUACAAGUACAAAAAGGAUUUCAUUGUCUUGAAUAACUGAAAAAACAAACAUAAGUGUUUCUCUUUCAAACAUCAAGAUAUUUAGCCACUGUCUGAACAUCUUUAUCUCCUCUUCCGCUGAAGUUCAAUACUACUCUCGUUCCGUCCGAUAAUGUGGGACACAGCUUCUCGAGGUAAGCUAGUGCGUGUGAGGUCUCCAGCGCUGGAAUGAUUCCUUCUAACCGCGACACUCUCUUGAACGCUACAGACCACAAAUCAAAGGGAAUGCAAAGGGUAAGCUAUGAAACAAAGAACAGAUUUCCGAAUACAGAACUAAAGACUAUGCAUUGGUACAUUACCUUCCAACGCUUCUUCGUCGGUUAUGCUAUAGUAUUCAGCCCGUCCCAUGUCUUUAAAAAAACUAUGCUCGGGUCCGACUCCAGGGUAGUCCAAUCUGUAAGAGAAAAUCAAACCGUGUUCAUGCGCAACCAUGGCUAAUUGAGUAGACUAUUCGGUAAUCUACAUUCAAACAUAUGAAUAAGAAUGUUGUGAUGGGCUUAAUCCCCACGAAACAGCCCGCCAUGGAUCAAUCAACCUGCAGCCUGGCCAGGCCAAGACCCAUCAAUUUCCUUUAUAUUAAUUGGGUUAACCACGGGCCAAAUCAGAGCUGGGCUUAGUAUGGACCAAGCUGGGCUAGCUCAUCACAACAUCUCUACUUAUGAUAGCUAUGUCCCACAUUACCGAAUAGAGAAUUUCACUUACCCUGCACUAAUUGAGUGUGGUUCAAUGAUUUGUCCAUCAUCAUCUUGCAGCAAGUAACUCAUAGCUCCAUGGAGAACACCGACAUCUCCCUUUGUCAAUGUAGCAGCGUGUUUGCCACUGUCCAAUCCGAAUCCCGCUGCUUCCACACCGAUCAUCCGGACCUCUGUGUCAUUUACAAAUUCAUGGAAGAGUCCCAUAGCGUUUGAACCACCACCGACACAAGCCACCAAGACAUCUGGCUUCCCGCCCCAUUUCUCCAACGCUUGUCUCCUUGUUUCUUUACCAAUCACAGCGUGAAAGUCUCUGACCAUCAUGGGGUAAGGAUGAGGACCCGCCACAGAUCCCAAUAUGUAAUGGGUAGUCUCCACAUUUGUCACCCAAUCUCUUAUCGCUUCAGAUGUUGCAUCUUUCAAUGUUGCUGUUCCAGAGUGAACUCCUCUCACCUAUAACACCAGAAACCCCGAAAAAAAGUUCAGAAACAAAGUUUUAUCACAUUUAAAAGAGAUGGAGAUGAAUCUUAAGCAUCACCUCGGCACCAAGAAGUCGCAUUCUGAACACAUUGAGUGCUUGUCUCUCCAUAUCUUGAGCACCCAUAUAGAUAAUACACUCAAGACCAAAACGGGCACACACAGUGGCUGUAGCCACACCAUGUUGACCCGCUCCUGUCUCAGCAAUAAUUCUCUUCUUCCCCAACCGCUUGGCGAGAAGAGCCUGAGCCACAGCGUUGUUAAUCUUGUGAGCACCUGUGUGGUUCAGGUCUUCCCUCUUCAAAUAUAUAAGCGGCCCUUCGCCAUUCUCGCGCCGGUAAUGCUCCGUAAGCCUCUCUGCAAAAUACAGAGGACUUUCCCUACCCACAUAGUCUUUCAAGAUCCCUGCCAACUCCCUCUAUCAAAGAUUCAUUGACAAAACACACAGAAAACAUAAAUCAGACAUUGAACCAGAGAAACCAAACCAAAACAAGAUUCCAAAUUUCAUUUCUCUCUGUUUCCCAUAAUCUCUAACCAUUCCAUCUAUGAACAGAACCAAUUUCAUUCAAAUGCCCUAGAAUUUACAUUUCCCAUCAACAAGAUCCAAACUUUAUCUCAAUCUGCAAAUGAUAACGCUAUAAUUCCAACGACCCACAACGCAAAAGGUUUCAUUUCUAUCGAAAUCACGAAGAACAAGGUCUACCUGGAAAUCAUCGUCGGUGGCGAGAGCAUAGAAAGCCGAUUCGAGCUCAGAGAGCGCGUGCAUAAGAGUCUCAGGUACAUACUUCCCACCAAACUUCCCAAACCGACCGAACGAAUCGGGUCGUUGCCACAGGGUCGGGUCAGAUCCGGCGGUCAUGAGAACAGGCGGGUCUUUGGCGAUAGUGCAGGUGACGGAGAAGGAUGACUUGGAGCGAGACGAUGGCAGAGGCGUAAAUUUGAGAGCUUUGAAGGGUGAUGAUCUCAAAUGGGUCAAUUGGGAAGAAGAAGAAGAAGGAGCAGAAGAAACGGAGGCUCUGAAAGUAGCAGCGGUGCCUGAGGCUGCCAUUACUGAAUGAAUCUCUCUGAGUCAAAUAUAUUAUUCUUCUCCUUCAAAUAUCCUUUCAAAGUAAAUCUGUUUUUAUAGAUAGAUUUUUUUUUUCUUUCAAAAAGAAUUGGUCAAAAUUCUGACCACAAAAUUCAUAUUAAACUAUUGUUGAGCUAAAUAUUUGUAAUAUCCUAAAUCUGCGUUGAUAAAUUUGGUUAUUUGUAAAAAAAAAUACUAAAAUUUAAUAUAGAAAAUCACAAAUAUUUAAAUUUGAAUUUUUAGAUAUCUACGUAUAUCUUUUUGGAGAUGUAUAAGCAGACACAUGUAAGCAGACCAAGAGAAAAAAAAAGAAAAAAAAAAGAGAAGGUUGGUAGGACUAGGAAAGUGGGAUAUAGUAAUAUAACACAUGGUUUUGAAAAACAUAUUCAAUUGAGCCAUCAUCACCUACCAUUCUUUUUUUUUUUUUCAUGAAAAACUAGGAUCGGACCCGCGGUCCACCGCGGGAGAAUAUUGAUUUACAUACGUUGAUUUUAAUAUUGUGCGUGUUUUUAGUAGAACGAAUCGUUUAGUGUACUUAUAAAUAUUCUUAAUAACAAAUUGUAAAAAAAAUAUUAAAUUGUUUAUAAUUAAACCAAUCAUAUUAAUUAUGAUUUACAAAAUAGAAUUUUGUGUUUUAGAAUUCAAAAAUUAGACGAAUCAUGGGAAUUAAAGCAGUCAAAAUAGGUCAAAAACCGCGGGUCGAACCCAAAUCAUCUCACUAUUGGGCAGAUUUGGGAAAAUAUAUUAAAUCCGCAAAUAAGCGGGCCACAUGGAUUGAUUUGCAGUGGGUCAUCGCUUUUCAUCCGCGGGUUGGCGGAUCAACCCGCAUGAUAGUAUUUAUUGAUAAAAAUAUAAUUUAUUCAACAUGUGGUAGUUUAAAAAACUUUUAAUAAAUGAAAUUAUAAUAUUUAUAAAUAUAAUGAUAUAAAAGAUUAUUAUCUCUAAAUUUUUUCUAAUUUAUUUAUUUUAGUAGAAUUUAAAAUUUUGGUUACUCUAAAAUUGUUUAAACAAAAUCCACGGAUAACCCCGUAAAUCAGCAUACAUUCGCGCGACGGGUUUGUGUUUCAUAUAUGCUACCCGCGGGUCGUGCGGACAGACUAACUACAUGGCAAAAUAUAUUUUGCCUAUUGCAAAACAGGCUCAACGGGAUGAAUCAACUCGUUUUGACAGUUCUAAUGGAAAUAUUAUUUAGUCAUACAACACAAUGGAGUUUGGACAUAUGAAUAAUAGAAUAUGUAUCUUAUUUGUUAUAUGAGAGAUUGAAAGGUGAAAUAUAAUGAUUAAAAAUAAUUAAUAUUUUUCAUGAUUCGCAAAAUUUAAUAAAUAUUUAUCAUCUUGUUGAAUAAUUCUAAAAAUCAUAUUCAAGACAUCUUUAUAAUUUGAAAAUUAAACUUCUUUGGUAAGCUAUAAGUAUGAAAAUACCAUAAUUUCGAUUUAAUCUAAUUAAAUUAAAAUUAGUUACAUAGAUUUUAUAUCUAUUUAAUUUAUAUGACCAAAAUAAAAAAAUCUAUUUAAUUUAUAAAAUAGAUGGGUUAGUUGUGAUAAAUUUUCUAGAAAUCUCUAGAAGCAAGUAAGAUAUCUUUUAAUUAAUGAUAACUGCUAAAAUAAGCAAAAUUAAUGAGAAAAACGUUGACUAUUAUGGAAUUAGUUCCAAAAAUAUAUGAACAAAUAUAUUAUACGUAAUUAAUGUAUAAUAUUGUUCAAAAUAUGAUUUUAUAAUUAGUUACCAUAAGUACAAUCAAAUUUUAUUUGAUUUCCAUAAACAUUUGAUUUUAGUUCGAUUUUUCAUUAUUAAUUCGAAUUUAUAUUCCAAAAUUUUCAAAGAUCCAAUUUCAGAAUUUCGGGUCAAUUUUCUGAUUUUGACCCGACCCAUUUAUAUUUGUACUUCUCUUUUAAUAGUAUAGAGAUACACUAGCAAGUAGCAAGAGUUGAAAACUCUUCUAGUUAUAAGGCCGACAGAACGGACAACGAAAAAUCUCAAGAAACUAAAUCCUAAAACAUAGAGUUUAUAAUCCACAAAACGUAGAAAACAACAGUGUUCCACCGAAUGUGUGACUGAUGGAUCCGUCUAGUAAAUUACUCAUCUUUUUUCCUUCUAACAAUUACUUUGUUCAUUAUUUUUGCUGUAAUUUUAAAUCCUUUUCAAUUAUUUUACAUAAAAACACCUUUAAAAAUUCAAAGACUCGAUCUAUAAUCUUUCAUAGUCUAUCCAUCUCUUCUUUUGAAAUUUGUGUUUUGUGGAAACGUGGAUUUAGAAUAAGGGAAAACUAAACAAUUUUUUUUUAUAUUAAACGUAUACUUAGAAUCAGGGUCGGUCAUAAGCCUAGUAAAAUAAAACAUGGGUUUAGAGCUCCCAAAAAUUUCACCAAAAAUUUCAUAUUUUUUUACCCCCACCCCCGGGAGUUUAAUUUGUUUUGCAAAAAAAGUCUCUAAUUUAAGAGACUAUUUAAAAACCUUCAAAAUUUCAAGGUUGGCUAGGUUUAGAAUUACAAUAUUAUUUAAAAAAUAAUUAGAUAAACACAUUGUUUUAUGUAUUUAGUUCGAUUUAAAACUGAACUGAACCGAACUAUUCGGGUUGAUAAAAGCUUAACCAAACAGUUUGUACAUUGAUUAUGGUUCGAUUUUGGAUCAUUUUAGGUUUAGUUGGUUUGGUUCAGUUAAAAUGCAUGCCUUAAUCUCUCGGUCAAUAUAUUCCUCUUCCUUAACAUAUCCGUCAAAGUAAAGGAUUUAAUAAGCUUCUUAAAAAAAAAUGUUUGGUCAAAUUCUUGACCACAAACAUAUAGUCAAAACAUAUUACGUUAAUAUAAUACCAAAUAAGUUGGUAGGCUUGAACGCAGUAUUAGCAAACCUGGAAUAUUUUUUUAGUAUAUAUAUUAUUCAUUUCUAAGAACUCAAACAGGUAAAAGAAAAAUGUUAAAAACAGAAUCGAGAUCCCUGACCUAUCUAUUUCAUAUUUUUCCUUUGUAGGUAGCUAGCAACAUUCUUCUUGUUUUACUCACUCUUCUUUUUCUUAUUUUUAGAUUAGUAAAAGUUUCAGGAAUUGCGAUUCGAAGCUUUUGUUGUUGGUGAAGUUUUAGCGAAAGCAUUUUUGACAAGGCUAAAUAUGUAACACUUCUUGUCUGUGUGGUAGGGAAGAGUAUUACAUGCAUCCAAAGAAGUUUAUGCGAAUUAGGGUCCUCAAUAAUUUCUCGAAUUUGGUGACACUUUCUUUUGAUAUUCUUCCUCCAAACUCUUUCAAAACAAGAAAUUUACUAUAUAUGAAAUAAGAAUAGUCACAUUACUAUUAUGGAUUUUAUCAUUUUAUUAGUAGUAAAUCUCAUCAUUUUCAUUUGAUAUUUUGUAAACGACUUUGUUGUAUGCUGGCAUUGAUCUAUGAACAUAUUGAAUGCAGAACAUAAUACAUAAGUGUUUGAAGGUUAUGUUCUGCAUCCAAUAUGUUUGAGGAUCGAUGCAAGAAUAUGACAAAGUCGUCUACAAAAUACUGGAUAAAAAUUAUGUGUUUUAUUAUUAAAAAAGAAAAUGAUUACUCUCUAUUGCAUAUAUAGAAAUCUUACCGGUGAAAGAUGUGGAGGAAGAAUAUCGAAAGUUAGAGUCUCCAAAUUUGGGCAAUUAUUGAGAAGAAUCCUAAUUCUAUUAAACUUCUUGGUAUAUUUUGUUUUCACGGGAUGAAAUUAAAGGAAUAUUUUUGAAAUCUUAGUUGCUAGAAAACCGUUAAGAAAUUAAGAAUUUUAACGUUUAUUUGAGAUGAUUGACUUAAUUUAUCAUAUUUCUUCUCUAACUCGAAGUUCUCGAGGACUAGUUCUCAUAGUCAUAACUCAUAACUGCCUGGCUAUCCACAUGAUAUCAAGGCCAACAUUGUUUGAUAUUUAGAGACUCUGGAGCGAAGGAGAUAUUUUUUUUUUGUUCGUGCAUAUAGUAACAUAUUAUAUCAUUUUUGAUGUAUAUACAGCAAUACAUAUUUUUUUUAGCAAUACAUAUAUAUUUUUAGUUAGCAUGUAUAUAGUAUAUAAUGUGUUUUAGUUCGUGAAGCUAAUAAUAUUUUUAAUUGUUUCGAAAGAAAUAUCAUCUUUUAUUAUUAUUUUGAUGUUAUAUAAACUUGCAAUAUUUUACAUCCAUUGCAUAGACAAACGAACAAAAUUAUCGAAGAUAAAAUCCCCCCUUACAAAUUCCAUUCCUUAAAAAGGUAAAAUAUCCUGCAAAUUAAGGGAUUUCCUAGAUUCCCUUUGUAAUAUUAAAGUUGGUCAAAUUUCUGACCACAAAAAUGUAUAAUCAAUUAAAAUGCAUCUUAGGUUAAUAAUAAUACCAAAUAAAAGCCUAUUUCAAAAAAAAAAAAAAUCCAAAUAAGUUAGCCAAAUUAAGACUUUUACUUGUAAAAGACUUUAAACUUUUAAGUUGGGAUAUGAUUUUAACCAAAUAAGGUUCUUACUUAACAAAUAAUUUGUUUGCUCUAUAACUCGGAAAAUGAGAGAGGAUUUUAAGACAUGGUUUUGAAAUACAUAACCAUGGGAGCCCAUAGCCAUCACCUACUCUUAUCGUUUACACUAGCAUAUUCAUUUACCUAAAUAUUUCUUCCCUUCUAAAACAUUUCCCAAAUUCACCCUCUGACUUUGACUCAUCAGAUUUAUAAAAUUACAAAUUGAUUAAGAAAAACUUUCAAUAAUCUUCGAGAAAUAAACAAAAAAUCCUGAGAAGUUGAACAGGCAGAACCACAAGAGGACAAAGUUUCAGGUGCGUCAGUUGUUCUUAUAUUUAAGAAAUGAUUGCAUUUUUAAAUCAAUAGAUUCAGACAUGUUUUUAGAAAUGAAAUGACUUCACUGACGAUUUUCAUUUGAUCCAUUGCAUGAUUUUCAUUGAAAGAGAUGACUUCUAAGAGAAUAGUUUCAAGUAUCCAAUCAGACAGAUUAUCGAAUCUACCCGAUACACUUCUGAUUAUUAUCAUCUCUUCCUUGUCCUUCAAGGAAUGUUUAAGUACCAGUGUACUCUCUACGAGGUGGAGUUACCUCUGUCGAGAGACAAGAAACAUUGCAUUUAAUGAAUCCGAGUAUGUCGACCACUCUGUAUCCGACAAAAAAUCCAAAAGGCUUUCGUUUGUUGGCUAUAUGAGUCAAUGGAUCUCUAGAUAUCAUGGUCGUUACAUCGAAAGCUUCGAGAUUUGUUUCUCCCUUCCAUUAGGCUUUAUGGCAGAGAUCGAGUCUUUGAUCGAAUUUGCAGUGUCAAGACAAGUCAAGAACCUGGUUAUUGAUUUCAAAGACCCUUCUUGGACAAUCAAUAGCAGUGCGUCUUGGUAUGCCUAUCUUGCUGUGAAAUUGCCCGUAUGCGUUUACAGUCUAACAACCCUCGAAUCACUGAAGAUUUACGCGUGCGGGUUUGAUCCUUCGAAAUUCACAAACUCGGGAUUGCCUAGAAAGCUCUCUAUUGGUUGGAUCAACUUCACAGAGGCCGAGUCUUUGUUAUCAAACUCUCCUACGCUCAAAAGUCUAAGUAUUGAUUACUGUUGGAGUGUUGAUAUCAAAAACAUAGCCGGAGAUAUGAAAGAAGUUGUAUUCGAUAACUCCGACUUCUUCCCUAAAAAGGCUUGUUCCUUUGACCUGCCUAAUGUAGAGAUCUUCAAGUACUCAGGCUCAGUUCUCUCCUUCGAUGUCAAGGGAAUGAAUAGGAUAAUAAAAGAAGUCUACUUGGACUUCUUCUGCGC
rnacentral:lncRNA from 1 species